rnacentral:lncRNA from 1 species
GUUUUGGUUCUUAUAAUUGAUCGCCUUAUCUAGAACAACACCACUGGUGUCAUUGUAGUGGAAAAGGUGAUGCAACAAGCACCACUCAUGGAAGCCUGGUUCAUCAUCCUAGUGUCUGCGUUCGUCUGCGUCGUCGUAAGAGCCAUAUUCUCCCGUCAAACCAAAACCAUCAACACCCCACCAGGCCCUCUUCACAUCCCAAUCGUCACAAGCAUCCUAUGGCUCCUAAAAUCCUUCAGCCAACUCGAGCCAAUUCUCCGAACCCUCCACGCCAAGUUCGGCCCUAUUGUCACCAUCCGCAUCGGAUCUCAACGUGCCAUAUUCAUCGCCGACCGCACCCUCGCCCACCGAGCCCUCGUCCAAAACGGUUCCCUCUUCUCCGACCGCCCCAAGGCUCUCGCCGCAUCUAAAAUCGUCACCAGCAACCAACACAACAUCAGCUCCGCCUCCUACGGGGCCACGUGGCGCGUCCUCCGCCGCAAUCUCACCUCCGAGAUGCUUCACCACUCCCGCGCCAAGUCCUUCUCUGGGAUCCGCAACUGGGUCCUCCACACCCUCCUCGCGCACCUUAAAUCCGAUUCUCUCUCCAACGAUUCCGUCAGAGUCAUCGACCACUUCCAGUACGCCAUGUUCAGCUUGCUCGUCUUCAUGUGCUUCGGGGAACGACUCGAUGAGGGAAAAGUCAGAGAAAUCGAGCGCGUCCAACGACAGUUACUUAUAGGGUUUAACAGGUUCAACAUCCUCAAUUUCUGGCCCAAAGUCACGCGCGUUUUGCUUCGCAAACGUUGGGAGGAGUUGCUGAGGUUUCGCAAGGAGCAAGAGGACGUGAUGCUUCCAUUUAUAAGAGCCAGGCAGCAAAAGCAAAAGCAAGGCAAGGAGGAAGGUGUUGUCUCGUAUGUUGAUACUUUGUUGGAUUUGCAUUUACCUGAGGAGAAACGCAAGCUGAACGAAGGGGAGAUUGUGACGCUGUGUAAUGAGUUUUUGAACGGGGGUACGGACACGACUUCCACGGCGUUGCAGUGGAUCAUGGCGAAUUUGGUGAAGUACCGGCAUGUGCAAGAGAGGUUGGUGGAUGAGAUAAGGGAGGUAUUGGGUGAGAGAGAAGAGAGAGAAGUGAAAGAAGAAGAGUUGCAGAAACUUGGUUAUCUGAAGUGUGUGAUUUUGGAGGGUUUGAGGCGUCACCCACCUGGUCACUUUGUGUUGCCUCAUGCAGUAACUGAGGACGUGAUUUUUAAUGAUUACUUGGUCCCUAAGAAUGGGACAGUGAAUUUCAUGGUGGCAGAGAUGGGGUGGGACCCUAAGGUGUGGGAGGAUCCCAUGGCGUUUAAGCCAGAGAGGUUUAUGAAUGAUGAGAGCUUUGAUAUUACUGGGAGUAAAGAGAUCAAGAUGAUGCCCUUUGGUGCUGGGAGAAGGAUUUGCCCUGGCUAUAAUCUCGCCCUUCUUCAUUUGGAGUACUUCGUCGCUAAUUUGGUUUGGAAUUUUGAGUGGAAGGUUCCUGAUGGAGGAGAUGUGGAUUUGUCAGAGAAACAAGAGUUCACUGUGGUCAUGAAAAAUGCAUUGCAUGUUCAUCUUUCUCCUAGGAUCUAGACUGUACCCGCUCAUUAAUAAUGGUUUGGAAAAUAAUUUUCAUGGUAGAUACUUCAGUGGUUAUAAAAAACUUAGUGUAUUGGUUUUUGAGGUGGUUUUACAUGAAUCACCCAGUAAGAUUCUCUACUGCGAAUGCCUAUAUGUAUAGAGAAAGAAGAUUAUGCAUAGCCUAGCAUGAUAUUUAUGCUGUGUGUUUUCAGAAGUUCUGUUCUGCAUUGAUAAGAUGAACAGUUCCUGUAAGAUUUUCACUACGGUUUCUGUCAAUUUGCUUGCACGUGUAGCUAUAUAGAUAGUAAAGUAUAACCAGUUAGUACUUAUACUACUUAGCCAAAAAUGGAAUGAAAAAAAGUUGAAAGAGGAAUUUUGUCACCAACCAAAAGAACGAAACAAUUGUCGGGACAAUCAAUGUUUUGAUUUAGAGUCCCUAUAUUUAAUUGUGUUGUGGGUCUAAUAUUUUGAAAAUAUUUAAGAUUUGGAUACUUCGUUACGUUCUGAACUUAGGUUAAAACAUUUUGAGGGUUGCAUUCUGAAUUUAGUUUGUCCACUUUUUCUCAAUUUCUCCAGUUUCGGUGUCUUCUUCUCUUCUAGCAUUUGUUUGGUCUUCUCCUCAAACUUCUGUUCUAGUAUUUGUCUGUCUUCCACCUUCUCCUCCUCGUUCGUCCUCGUCGUUUUUGGUGUUUGCAAGUGACGGUGGUUGGGUGACGCUAUUGGUGACCUUACAUUGAAGUGUUCUAUUUAAUUUCACCAAAGGUAAUACAUUUUCUAUUCAUUAGUUUAUUAAGUGAAAGAUUGAUCUUGUUUGAUUUUUGUUGGGUGAUGAAUAAUAUAAAGUGUGUGUCCGUGUUAUUUUCCGUGUGGUGACCCUUGUAACAUCAUGUAGUGACCCAAAGUCAAUUUCUUGCACACACACUUAAGACAAUAUAUUUUCGUAUUUCAUGGUAGAGGUUAUUUGAUGGGUUUGUAUUUUAAUGUUAUUAUAGUAUUUUAUUUGAUAGUAGUAUGUUAGGAUACACAAAAAAUAGGAAUUGGUUAGAAUUAGAAUAUACAAAGAACUACAUUUGUGAUCAUAGGUGUUUGUGUUUACUAUUUACUUUUUUUCUCGAGUACCACUUGAUUUUUUUUGGAAUAUAUUGUUAAAACUAUAUAUUUUUGUGUACUUAGUUUAUGUGUGAUGCAUGUAUGAUUUUUUACUAUAUUUUUCUCCAAAAAAGACCUUUUCUGAAGUUAUGAUAUUGUGAAUAGUCAUUAUUGAGUAUAUAGAGAAAGAGAGAGGUCACUACAUACUGAUAUUGUAGAUAGAUAAUCCUUUGAAUGAUUAUUGCAUAUAUGUGUCUUGGUGCCUAAUUAAUGCAAAGUCUUUCUUUGUAGUUACUGGUGCAAAAAGACAAAACGAAUGCAGCUAUUUUAAAUUUAGAAGGACGACUAUAGAACUGCAUUUGAUGAACACGCAUUCUUAAAUUGAAGAGAUAAGAAAGCAGCUAUUGUAAUAGCCCUUGUAAAUCACAUUUAUAAAUGUGGCUAUGGUAAUAGUCGCAUUUGUAAAUCUUGCGCUGGAUUUACAAAUGCGGCUAUGGUAAAUAACCGCCCUUGUAAAUGGUGUUUUUUUUAGUGCAAUCUGUUUAGUGCUAAUUACCAUAUAAAUUAAUUUGUUCAAUUAUAUAUACCCAGCCAGACAAAUACAUAAAUUCAGAUAAUCAAAUUAUAUAUAUAUAUAUAUAUAUAUAUAUAUAUAUUAAUCAAAAUGUAUUACAAACACUAAUCAAAUUAUAUAUAAUUCCUACACUAUUGAUCAACUAUCCUAGAGAUAUAAAAAUUUAUGAAAUAUGUGGACCAAGAAUGUCUCACAUAUGUUAUGGCUUCCGAAGACAUUGGUGCUUCAUCCGUGAAGAACUGCAUUUAAAAAUAUGGUUGACACAAAUUAGUUUUAAGAUACAUAUAUGUUCAUGAAUUAUAAAAAUAAUUUAACAUAUCAUGUUACCUCUUUCCAAUCACUUUUAAGGCCUACUCUUGGUAAUCAUCCAUUGCAUAAACGUAAUAGCCACACUCAUAGCUUCCUGAUUGUUUAUUACACUAUAAUUCAAUAAAAAGUAAAAGUUAGUAUAUUGAUAAACAAUGAAAAGAGAAAGAAAAAAUUACAAACCUUUAGUCUUAUCUAGUUCAAAUUUUGAAAAUUUGAAUUGGAUCGACCUUUUAGGAUGUUAUAUCCACACCAUGAACUGGUUAAUACAAAAAACCUCGUUAGUAGAUGGUUAAUUAGUAACAUACAAAGUUAAGUUUAUAGUGUACUUACCUAUCAAUGAUAUUCUUAAGACUUGGGGAUAUCUUCUUGUGUAGGGAACAAAACCACACAGUAGUCUUAUCAACCAUUGAUAAGACAAGUAACUACCAAUGAUCCCUAUAUCAUCCAUGAAAAGAGUUAGUAAAUACUUAAAACAUGAAAUAGUAAUAAUUGACGACAUAUGAUUAAACUUACUCAUUAAUAUAAGAGCAUAAAUAAAUUUGUUUUCCCUCUUUUUCCAUGGUGUUAGUCAUGUAUGAUUGGGUCUCAUUUACCUUUGCUCCAGUGGGAUUAGUAUAUGUAGGAUCUAAGAAUCCAUACACAUUUUCCUUCUCCUCAGUGAGACUGACUCCAUGCAAAAACCUACAACUUAUUAGUUAAAACAUUAUCAAUAAUAAUUUAACAUAAAGUAAAUUGAAAUAUAGGUAAAGAUACUUACAUCAUAAAAAAUUGAAUUAUAUUUAUAUUGAGCUCCUGAUCCCAGCUACAAAUUCUAACAAAUCUGUCAUGUAUAUGUAUAGUGGUAGUUCAGUGUUUAUUUAAAAAAAACGUAUCAUCCUAGGGAACUUCAAAAGGUUCUCGACCAAUCUGUCUAGCAGCUACAACUAAGGAAGCUAUAUGAUCAUCAACCGGAGCCUCAUGCUUCUUUUUCGGACUUGGUUUUCGAUGAGGUUUCUACAAAAUAAAGAACAUUUGUACUAAAUUAGAUUCAAUAUAUAAAUAUAAAUGAAUAUAAUGAAAUGAAAUUAUUACCAAAGGUUCUGGCAUAAUUCGAAUGAGGUGUCUGGGCUAGGCAACGAAUGUCUGAAAAGCAUCGGCUACAGUGGUUAUCUCAUCUGAAGGUAGUGGAACACGGGCAUUAGGUACUCGUAAUCUUUCAACUUUUACCUUCUGUAAGAAUUGAUGGCUUAAACAAGAGGGGUGAAUUGUUUAUCAAAGAUUUUUUGCAAAGAUUGAUUAAGAAUUAACCUUUUAUCAAACAAUGAUAGAUAAACAAUUAAGGAAAACAAUCAACCAAUGAUACAAAAACUGUUUUUCAGAAUUUUAACCGAUUGAAAUUGCGUUUUAAUCGGUUGUUUAUACCAACAGCAGAAACAAAAUAAAAACAAACAGUUAUAAGGAGUUAGAGAUAGAGAGAUUUACACAGAGAAUUUUAUACUGGUUCACUCAACCUUGAGCUACAUCGAGUUCUCAGAACAAUGUCUGAACAACAUCGAUUUUUUGAAAACUUCUUUAAAAAACAAAUCUCAAUCUCUCUUUGUUCUCAAAUUUGUGUAAAACUUGUUGUUUUUUGUUUAGAAAGAAAGGCUAUAUUUAUAGCACUUAAAAUCUAGCCGUUUAAGGCAACAUUAAUGAACCAAAGCAGUUUUGAUCACACCCAAAAUAGAAUAAUAGGUUUUCAAAAAACUGUUAGACAAAGUCACAAUCAACCGGUUGAAAGCACGAUUUAACCGGUUGAAUUGGUUAGGCAGUUACAUAACCAAGUCAAAAACAGUUUCAAAAUCUUUAAGCCAGCUAAGUGACAAACAACAGAUUAUUUCGAUAAUUCAACCGAUUGUUUUUCUCUUUGCUUAGAAAAACACUUUGCUUUUUAAAACAGAUUGGGCAAACUUUGUGCAAGGAUUAAGAACUGAUAUCUACAUAGAUUCUAAACAUUCUAAUCUAAACCCAAACCAAAAAGCAGCAAGGUUUCAAGCUUCAUCUUGGAUUUGAAACAUCAAAGCUCCCAUGCUCUACAAUCUCCCCCUAUUUGAUGGAGACAAAUCCUUGGGAUGCUUUUAGGAAUGUUCUUGUUUAGAAUCUGUAUAACCUGCAUCAUGAGCAAACAUAGAAACACAAGAAAAUCUAUUCCAAUCAAAUAAGCACCACAAACCAGUUCCCACUAGGUGAUUUCCAGAGAGGAACAUCAGCCAAAUCAGAUGAGAAACCAAUCAACAUACAGAGGUGCAAACACAGAUAAACAAUCGGUUAUUUCACAGGAAUAACCGGUUGAAAUUUUGUAGCAGAGUUUUAACAGUUUUAAAAUUUCAAAUCUAAACAGUUAUAGCAGUAUUAAGCAAUGUUCAAAGGCAGUUAAAUCACAAAUUAUAAGAAUAUUACAAUCCUAACAUACUUCUACCCCUAUUUGUCUUCACAAAUAGACAAAAGGAAGGAUUAAAAACAACAUAAAAGAGAAAAGAAAUUGUUCAAAAAUGUUGACCAACAAAUUAGAAAGAAGGACUGUUCUCCCUUUCAAAUUGUAGCUCCAUAAUCUGAUUAUAAACCUCUUCUAUUUGUUCAUCUAGGUUUGAAAAACAUGAAUCCAUAUGAUUGAACCUUGACUCAAACAAAUCAUGGAAAUUCCUUUGAUUUUCAACAAAAGUGUCCAUGCUGUUAUCAAUCUUUCAAAAGGAGACAUUGUGGUCAUCCUUUCUCCCAUGUAGACAUCACUAGGACUAGCCUCUUGAGUCUCAGCAGUAGGUUCCUCUUGAUUUGUUGCAUCUUCAGGUUCAUCACCAUCAUUGAUUCCACUUGGGCCAGCUUGAUCACCAUCUUUGCUAACCCAUCUCCCACCCAUUUUUGUAAACCCCAUUUUGCUUAGGGAUCCACUGUUAAUCUCACUUGAGGGCUUGAUAAUUUCAGCUAGCUCCUCUUCAAUAUUCACUUCAAAAUAGUGAAGAAAUUUAGAGAUUAAAAUUGCAUAAGGAUAGUGAAAGCCACAUAACCUUAUGGAUUUUUGCAUAUGCUCCUUGAUGGUGUGGAUCCAAUUGAUCUUCACUUUAUUCAUAAUGCAAUAGAUCAGCAGUAGGUCUUCCUCAGAAAGGGUGGAGUGAUUGCUCCCCCUUGGUGUGAUGAUCCAUGACACUAUGAAGGCUAUGAGCCUUUCAUCAAGCUUUAACCCUCCAACAGAAAAAUUUCUCACUUGGGAGAGGGGAUUCUUGAGACAACUUUUGUAGAACUGCAUCUUAUUGAAUUCUUCAACUAUCCCUAGAUUUCCUUUGUUGAUCCUCAGUCCAGAGUACUUCAAUCCAGUCACAUCAGUCCACACAUCAUUGGUAAUGACCAUGCCUACACCUUUCACAUGAGAAACAAGUGAGUCAUCAUUAAAUUGAAGGUUAGUAUAGAAUACCUUCACCAAUUCUGGAUAAAUGUUUCCAGUGGGCUCAAGAAAUCUCUUUAAUCUUUGCUCCUUGAGGAGGCUUCUCAUAGUGGACAAAUUUUGUUACUUCAUCCAGGUGAAAGAGACAAGCUUGGGUGUAUUCACACCUUUCCUACUAGUUUCAUGUAGGUAUUUGUUGAUGAGUUCAGAUUCUCUUGAGAACCAUCCUUCAAGCUUCCCAGCACUUCUAACAGCCCUGGUUUUCAUCCUUUUAGCAGAUGGAGGAGUUCCAGCCAUUUCUUAAAUCAAAGAGGAACUUUAGCACACUACAGGGAAAACUUAGAGCAGAGGAAAAAGAAGAACAACAAAUUGUUUGUGUGUAAAAUAGCAGCUAAUUGCAUUACUUAGAUAGCCAAAACCCUUGGUCAAAGUUGGCAUUAUGUGGGUUGUUAUCAAAACAAAAAAACGAAUCAAAUUUGAACCAUAAAGCUGUUUUUGUCAGUCAAACAGAAAGUACAAAUACUCACAUGUUGAUUUGACCAAACUUUAAAGGCAAUUUUAAUUUCCAAGAUAAGAGGAAUCUGAUUUAUAAAAAGUAGUUAUAGCAAAGGCAUAUUGUAUUCAGACAUGUAAUUAAUACAGUAUUAACCACAAAUAUCACUGGGUUUGAACAAAAUUACAAAUCAGGACUUAGAAAUUAAAAACAGAUUUGCCCAGUGCUAACAGAGAGAAAACAAUCGGUUGUUUUGAAGAAACAAUCGGUUGAAUUUCUGCACUGAUGAAAUUUUUUUAGAAAAUCAUAUUUUCAAACAAUCAUGCUAUAUUCAAACAUAAUGGUUUAUAAUGCACACAAAUUUGUAUAAAGCAUAGAAGAAAUACAAGCUAAUUAUAAUCUAGGCAUAAAGAACAACAUAGAAUUGGAUUUAAGAACCAAUGUUCAACAAAGAGAAGAACAAGAAAAUUAUCCUCAGAUUUUAGUUACGCAAAUGUAAGCAGUACAUAGAAUCAGGACAAGGCUUUGACUUGUACACAAAUCUUCUUGAGAUUCUGAUCUUUCUGACCCUUCAAGUAGAGUAAAAAAUCUGCAAAACAGAACUUGUUAAAUCAUAAGGUUUGAUCCCUUAAAGAAUUUGGGACCCUUUGUGUUAGACUUGCCUUUGGAACCAUCAAAACAGCUUGGAAUCCAUUUAAAGAUCCCUUUAGAAACAAGAUAUUUUUGAAACCUGCAGAACCUAAUUGAAUGAACUUUCUUCAUGCAAUAGAAGCAUGUAACAACCGGUUGAAUCGACCUUUUAACCAAUUGUUUUUCUGGUACAGUUAAAAAAGGUUUUGAAUCCCAUUUCCUUUGCUUUGUGGAUAAAAACCUAAACCAACUUUUCCAAAAACACAAUUUUGAGAUGCAAGAACAUUUUCAAAGUUGGAUUUUCUAGUUGUAAGUUUGUCCAAAGUUUUCAAAAGAUAGUGAAUCUUUCUUUCAAGAUUUUCACAAUUUUCACAAACAUUUGAAUCACAACUACAAGUUGAGUUUUUGUAAAUCAAAUCAAGGUUUUCAAAAUCUUCCUUUGUUUUUCCAAACUCUUCUUCUAGAGACUUGACUCUGUUUUCCAACCAAUUAUUUAGACCUUUCAACCGGUUGUGAGAAAGUGUCAAUCGGUUAGCCUCUUCAUGAGUUUCAUUAAAAGCUUCAAGCAAUUGAUAAUAGUUAUUACCUUUGAUUGAAGAUGAUGAACUCAUGCUACUGGAUACAGAUGCUCUAAGGCACAUGCCACAUAUGCCUUCUUGGCUUUUCCCCUUUUCUCAUUUUUUAAAUCUGCUAUUUCUAAUUGUUGGGGCAUUCUGCCUUGAUAUGACCCUGUUCACCACAGUCAUAGCAAGUGUACUUGUUAAUAUUAAAAUCACUAGGUUUUCUAGAACCAUACCUCUUUGAAGCUUGGCUUUUCUUCUUCAAGAACUUGCUGAAUUUUCUUGACAGCAGACUCAUGGUGUCUUCAUCACUCCCACUUGAUUCUUGUUGAUGUUUGUGAUUGCAAGCUUUGAGUGUUAUGCUUUUGUUGUGUUUGUCCUCACUUUCUUGCACAAUAAGCCUAUUCAUUUCGAGCUCGUGCUUCCUAAGCUUACCAAACAAUAAAGCAGCUGUCAUUGAUGUCAAAUCUUUUGAUUCUAAGAUGGCAGUGACCUUUGGCUGCCAUGUUCUAUCAAGACAUUUCAAUAUCUUGAUGUUCAGCUCCUCCUUAUCAAAAGACUUACCAAGACUCAUCAAUUGAUUGACUAUGUGAGAGAACCUUUUCUGCACAUCAUAAAUGGUUUCUCCCUUUUGCAUUCUAAAGAGUUCAUACUCUUGAAUAAAGCAUGCUUUCUGGCUCUCUUGACAUCGUUUGUCCCUUCAUGUGUGACUUCAAGAAUGUCCCACAUUUCCUUUGCUGAGCUACACUGUGAUACCCUAAAAAAUUAAUCACAACUCAAGGAAAAGGUUAUUAUAUUCUUAGCAAUCCAGUCAAACUUGGCUUUCUUGCUUUCAGCCUCAGUCCAAUCAGAUGAAGGUUUAUAAAUUAAAACCUCAUCUCUUUUGACUUGAGGUAUAAAGGGACCAUUUUCAAUUGUUUCCCAAAUACCCUUAUCAGUUGAAUGCAUAAAGAUUUUCAUUCUCACCUUCCAAAACUGGUAAUUGACACCACAAAACAGUGAUGACCUGUUUAUGGAAGCACCUUCCCCAAAAGGCAACUUGUCAGCCAUGUAAAAAGAUUUUUCAGAAAAAAAACCAGAAACUUGAAUAUUUUUCAAGAACCUAGCUCUUGAAGCCAAUUGUAAGAAUUGAUGGCUUAAACAAGAGGGGGUGAAUUUUUUAUUAAAGAUUUUUGCAAAGAUUGAUUAAGAAUGAACCUUUAUCAAACAAUGACAGAUAAACAAUUAAGGAAAACAAUCAACCAAUGAUACAAAAACUGUUUUCAGAAUUUUAACUGAUUGAAAUUUCAUUUUAAUCGGUUGUUUAUACCAGCAGUAGAAACAUAAUAAAAACAAACAAUUAUAAGGAGUUAGAGAUAGAUAGAUUUACAUAGAGAAUUUUAUACUAGUUCACUCAACCUUGAGCUACAUCCAGUUCUAAAAACAACCUCUGAGUUCCACUAGUAAUCAAUUACAUAUUACACAAACACACCACAAAGAGGUGACCUUGAAAACCACAAGACCCACUCACCCUCUUUGUAACACCAAACACCUCAAGUCAGAACACCCUCUGACUUUGCAGGAUUUCACACACACUUACAAGUUUUAUGAAAGUAAAAUUACAAGAAUCAUGAAAGGAAUAGAAAACACCUGAGAUUACACCAACUAGGAAGUCCUAUGAUCAGAUCUUGUCGAGUGCAAAGCUUAACAACAAUCUUGCAAACCUUUUGAAAACUUCUUUCAAAAAAAAAUCUCAAUGUCUCUUUGAUCUCAAAUCUGUGUAAAACUUGUUGUAUUUUGUUUUGAAAGAAAUGCUAUAUUUAUAGCUCUUAAAAUAUAGUCGUUUAAGGCAACAUUAAUGACCCAAAGCAGUUUUGAUCACACCCAAAACAUAAUAACAGGUUUUCAAAAAACUGUUAGACAAAGUCACAAUCAACUAGUUGAAAACACAAUUUAACCGGUUGAAUUGGUUAGACAAUUACAUAACCAAGUCAAAAACAGUUUCAAAACCUUUAAGCCAGUUAUGUGACAAACAACCGAUUAUUUCGAUAAUUCAACCAGUUGAUUUUCUCUUUGCUUAGAAAAACACUUUGCUUUUUUAAAAUAGAUUGGGUAAGCUUUGUGCAAGGAUUAAGAACUGAUCUUUACAUAGAUUCUAAACAUUCUAAUCUAAACUCAAACCAAAAAGCAGCAAGGCUUCAUGUUAGAAUUGAUGGCUUAAACAAGAGGGGCGGGGGGUGAAUUGUUUCUAAAAGAUUUUCGCAAUUACUUUACUUUAGAAUGAAUCCUUAACAAACAACUCAGAUAAGCAUAUCAGAAAGUCAAUCAAACAGUCUAACAAAAAUAGAUAUCAGAAUUUCAACCGGUUAAAACACGAUUUAAUUGGUUGUUUAUGAUAGUGAAAAAAAAAUCAAACAGUUAGAGAAUUGAGAGAAAGAAAGAUUUACACACAAGGUUUAUACUGGUUCACUCAAUCCCUGAGCUACAUCCAGUCCUCAGUCAAGCCACUGAGUAUUCCACUAUGUAACCAAUCAUAAAUUACAAACAAAACACUCACAAAGAGGUAAUCUUGAAACCACAAGACCUACUCACCCUUUUUGCACACAACACACACCUCAAACCAGAAUCACACUGACUUUACAGGAUUUUACAAACACGUUUACAGAGUGUAAUAUGAACAAUUACAAGAAACUAAGUAAGGGUAGAAAACACCUAGAAUUACAGUAAACCAGAAGCCCUAUGAUCAGUUCUUGAACCACAAUAAUACUCAAAAGCAAUCUUGCUAAACUUGAAAAACUCAUUUUCACAAACAGAUUGUAAUAUCUCUUUUUUAUCUCAAAUGAGAGUGUAAAACUUCUAUGUUUUUCAUCAUUUAAACAUUUGAAAGAAGGCUAUAUUUAUAACCUUUGAAAAAGCUACCGUUUAAGGCAGAUUUGAACAACUGAAUCAGUUAAAACAAGUUUUCAAAAUACUGUUAUACAAACUUACUUUAAUUAGUUGAAACCACGAUUUAACCGGUUGAAUGGUUUCAGCAGUUACACAACUGAUUCAAAAAAUAGUUUUAAAACUUCUUUGCCAGCUAAGUGACAAACAACCGAUUGUCUCGAAACUUUAAUCGGUUGUUUUUCCCUUUGCAUAGAAAAAAAACUUAGUUCUUUAAAACAAAUUGAAACAAGCUUUCUGUAGGAAUCAAGACUGAUCUUACAAAGAUUUUAAACCCCAUAACUAAGUCCAAACCUGAAAAGCAGCAUAGCUUCAGAUUCCAUGAGGAUUUGAUACAUCAAAGCUUCCCAUCUUCAACACUUUAAGCUUCAUCUUGGAUUUGAAACAUCAAAGCUUCCAUGCUCUACACCUUCGCCACAUCAGGGGAGAGAGGAACAUUGUGUAAGGUGGUGGUCUCUUCACAGACUUUUCCAAUGGCCACCACCUGAGGAAGCAUGCCGCCCGCUACCAGUAGAUCACAUUGCCUUGUUUGGCCAAUGAUAUCCUCCCCUGAUGUUGUAGGAGUCGCAUAACUCCCCUUUGUGCUCUUGGGAGAGGGACUAGCAAGGGGUUGAAUCGGCUAAGCACAAACUUGUUGCGAUAGAAACUUUUGUCGCAACUCUAGUCACAUCCGAUCAGUCUCUUUUCUCGUCUCCUCCAAUAAUUGUUCACGUAUCUUAGUCGUCAUUUCUUCUUUGGUCUCUUAGGGGGAGGAGGAUGAGUGAUGAGAAUAAAAAAGAUGUUAUUAAUAGGAGGAAUGGUCAAGGACCAAAAUACUUGAAGUUCUUCUUAUUAGUAUUCUUAAUAUGGAGGCCCAAGCCCAAGCCCAAGCCCAAGCCCAAUCCCAAGAAGGCCAAAGCCCAAGAAGCCCAAGACCAACCCAUGAGGGGCAAGGCCAAACAUUAAAUAAAUAAGCAUCAUUGGAUGUCUCUAUUUGUAAUUUCCUUUUGUAUAGUUUUUAGUAGAACAUUAAUGGAGGGUGUAGAUAUUAAAAUAAGGGGUGUCUAUGUAUAAAGAUAGGUCACACCUUCCAUGUGACAAAAUAGUAGGCGUAGGUGUAGUUUUUAGGAGGUGCCAAAGUAGAAAAAGGUCACACCUCCCAUGUGACUUGUUUUGGCUCCAAAUUUGAAUUAGAAUUAGGAGGGAAAUCUGAAUUUGCGUAGCCUUUCAUUUCAGCCCUCUUCUACUAUAAAUAAAGAGGCUAGGCUCUUGUAAUUUCAGAUUUGGAUAAUUAAUAAAGAGAAACUCUACUCAAUUUGAGAGAGAACUUGUGAGAUUUGAUGUCCUUCCUAUAGUCUCAUCUUGUGUGCUUUUGGAGAGCUACAAGUGGCGACAUUCCUUCACUCAUCUUGGAACUCCAUCACCAAGUGGCGUGAUCAUUCUCCAAUUCCAUUCCAGCCGAUAUUCAACCAUCUAAGUCACAUUCCUUUCAUCUCCUUUGUUGUUUUCAUUCGGUAGUUUUAGUUUCUUAGUCUUGUUCUUCAAUUUGUACCGUUUACUUUUGUUAUUGUGCUGUUCUUGAGUUCUAUUUAGUACAUUUGAUUCUUUGGAUGAUUUUAAUCGGUAGAAUUGUUUCCUCUUUCAAUUUUGUCCAGUUUUAGCAAUUACAUAUUUCAAUUGUGUUUAUAUUCAUGUUCUUGAAGUUGUUCUUGUUUUCCUUUCAAUUCCACCAUAUGUUUGUGUUAAGGACAUGACACUCAUUGUUCAUAUGAGUUUGGCUUUACAUUUGGAUGGCAUUAUCCUCCAUUGAAUUGUCCUUAAGCCUCCUUAAAUGUUGUGUAUCUUGUUUAGUGCCAAUCCAACUCAUAUCAAUGAGUGUCAUUGUGAAACUCCAAAAUAUAGUUCAAUUCCAACCCCUUGUCCAGCUGCAUGAACACAACCACAAUGCUCAGGUCGUCCAAUUGCUUCAACCAGGAUAUCGUGAUGACCUUCAGGAACAAAAUUUCCUCUCAUAUGCAUGCCAUCUAAGAUUCUUAGCAUCGUUUGGGUUUGCAAACAAACGCUUCAUCCUUGGAAUGAUGUGAAGAUACUACAUAACCUUCAUUGGGGUCCAUGCUUUUCUAUAUCUUCAAUAGUAUCAUCAUCUUUUUGUUUCAACUUAUAACGUGAUAACCCACACCUCGAACAACUUUUCAACAAUUCAAAAUCUUUCAGUAUAAUAUACAAUCAUUAGGACAUGCAUGUAUAUUUUUAUACUUCAUACCCAUUGGACAAAGAAUCUUUUUGGCCUCAUAAUUACGAUUAGGUAGAGUAUUUCCUUUUGGAAGCAUAUCCUUCAACAACUAAAGCAAUUUCGUGAAGCUUUUAUCAGUUCAUCCAUUUAUUGCCUUCAAAUUCAUCAAUCUUAACACCGUCGACAACCAUGUGAAGUUAGUUGCUCCAGGAUACAAUGGAAUCUCUGCAUCGCUUGACAUACUUCCAUAUCCAUGUGCUUCUGCAAAAGACCGAGCUCCCACAUCACAAAUCAUGUCCUCCAAUCGAUCAUCAUCUACAUCAUCAUGUACUUCAUCAUCCAUGGUGGACUCUACAUAUUCUUCAGUUACGGAAACACGUGGUAAAUUUAACAAUUCAUCAUGCCAUGUCCAUGUUUUAUACGAUCGAAGAAACCCAUCACAUAGAAGGUGCUCCCUCAUUAUCUUAACAUCUAAUAUCCUUCCAUUUAAACAGUUAACGCACAGACACCUGAUCUUUGCUCCAUCAUGACCACUAUUAAUCGUGUUACGUUGUGCAAAUUGUAUAAAUUCUUCUACUCCUCUUUCGUACUCAUCACUUAUGCGAAGAGAAUUAAUCCAAUUUCAAUCGAUUAUAUUCUGAAAUAGUCAUUCAGGUGUUUUCUAAUCAGUGUUCUAUCUCACACGUUUGCCGAGGGUCGAAUACCCCUGGACUCAAUACCAACGAGUAUCAAUUGUCGAGGAUGGAACACCCUCAGACUCAAUACAAACACGAUAAUUCUAUUCUAAACUAACAACUAACAUAAUAUAAAUAUAAAUUAUAAAAAAUACUAAGUAAUAUAAAUUUAAAAAAAGUACAAAUUAUAAUACAUAAAAAAAAAAACCAAAUACAUAAAAUUAAAAAGAAUUCAAAAAAUUUAAAACAUCACCAACCUUAUGUGUGAAGGCAACGUUGGCCAAGAGUGGCACGACAGCGGCAACGGACGCGGCGGUGGACGCGAAAGCAACGAAGGAGCAAACCAGAAACUAAAGAAGAACCCACAAAGGCAAUGCAACAAUACUUCAAGUGUAACAAACAAAACAAAGUAAGAUAAAGGAAAAACAUUUAUAUACAUUGGUGAAGAAGAAAGAGAGCUCGAAGAAACUUACAGAGGCAUGAAAACAAAAUCAAUGAAGUUGUAGAAGAAGAGAUGAACACUAAGCGCAAAUGCGAGCAGGAGUGCAAACGCGAAACACAAAAAGGAGAAAGAAAAUAAGAAAGCGUAAGUGGUGCGCUUCAAAAAUUAGGGUAAAAAUGAUUUAAGAAUGUGACUAUUUGUAAUAGCCGCUGAUCCUGCCUGUUGACCGGAGCGCUGGAGAAUGCCUCGUCAAAGGAUCGACGUGCGCGCCGCUUCUCACUUCCGUUCCUCCUCUGGAUCUAUCUCAAGAACCUGCAAAGAAACGAUACGGCGCUGCUGCGGCCGAUCGCACUCCGACGCUCAAGUCAGUGACGGUAUCACCAAAUACUAAGAACUAGAACCGUGCAAAAACUCUCUCUCACAACAGCUCUGUCACCCGCAAGCGUAAAGUGUAUGAACUGAACGUGCGUACCUCAGAAAGUCUGUUAAGAACUCUUAUAUACCUGGUGGUUUUCUCUCUCCUGGCAGUUACAAACUUGGACACGUGGCUCGCAUCCAACUGUACACGUGCCAUCAUCUGGAGGCUCCCUGACUUGGCGCUGCUUCUACUCUUAUUUUGGCUAAGUUACUUAUGCAUGGUACUGCCCAGUNNNNNNNNNNNNNNNNNNNNNNNNNNNNNNNNNNNNNNNNNNNNNNNNNNNNNNNNNNNNNNNNNNNNNNNNNNNNNNNNNNNNNNNNNNNNNNNNNNNNNNNNNNNNNNNNNNNNNNNNNNNNNNNNNNNNNNNNNNNNNNNNNNNNNNNNNNNNNNNNNNNNNNNNNNNNNNNNNNNNNNNNNNNNNNNNNNNNNNNNNNNNNNNNNNNNNNNNNNNNNNNNNNNNNNNNNNNNNNNNNNNNNNNNNNNNNNNNNNNNNNNNNNNCUAUCUACCAACCUGGCGCCUUGUCAACACGCCUAUACUGUAGCAGGAUGCCACGUCAUCACACCCGUCCACCAGGGUGGUACACAAGCCCCCCAGUCUUAAGCGAGGACUUGUCUAGCGAAAAGACUGAAAGAGCCCUCGUCAACACCGAUCUACGUGGCACUGACGCAGAAUUCCAAGCGAUCGUACUUUCUGCUGCUCUGACGCUCCACCAAACCCUUCACCGAUCGCUCGACACGUGGCUUCAUCAACGGCUCUCUUCAUCUGCCGUUAGCGCUUCCAAAACUUAUUUCGAAAACCCUUAAACCCCUUACGCUCCUACUGUUCCAUCACUUUCUUCACACUUGCAUACGCUCUCAGUUCCUUCUGCGAAAGCUCUCGACGUUCCUCGACGCUCUAGAUCACCACCUCCCUUCAACGUUCUCCUGAUCAUCGAAAGGUAACUACUUUCCUUCAUCUGCUGGGUUUCCUUGCAUUUUCACCGAUUUGCAUCAUCCUGUAACUGUCUGGUGCAUACGCUGUGGGCUGUUUUUCCAUUUCUUCUUNNNNNNNNNNNNNNNNNNNNNNNNNNNNNNNNNNNNNNNNNNNNNNNNNNNNNNNNNNNNNNNNNNNNNNNNNNNNNNNNNNNNNNNNNNNNNNNNNNNNGACAGCGUAUUCUAUGAAGGACAAAGGCAAGGAUGGCACUUCUCUUUCUUCUUCCUUUGCAGUUGCUACCAUGACUCGCACCAAGAUUACCCCGAACCCCCCUCCAUCAGCGCGAAACCCUCCUUCACAAGCACACGACUCGACACAAGUUCGUGGUGCUCCCUCUUCGCAGGCUGUGAGGCCUGCAUCUUCCCAAACUGCCCUGGCUCGGGCGACUCCAUCUAACGAUGGAGGAGCCCCCAUCCCUCUGCCAGACUUCAAGACUUUAUACCCAUGGGCUAACCCAACCCUCUUAAAGGAGACCUCGUCGGUGAACACUGCGGGAGCGGUUCUGCGAUUGACCAAUGGGGACGAGGCCCACCAAUCGUUUCACAAGGAGCACGAUGAGAGAAUGAUGGUGUUGCCUUGCCCCGCCGCUCUGCCAGUGUGCGCCGAUGACAAAGUGAGCGCCGAUGGGCCCUUCUGCUUCGUCUACACAACUUUUUUCAAGAAGGUCAAGCUCAGGUUCCCUCUCACUCGAUUUGAGAGGGAACUCUUAACCGAGCUCAACAUCGCUGCCGCCCAGCUUCACCCCAACAGCUGGGCGUUUGUCCGAGCCUUCGAGAUAACGUGCGCCCACCUGGGGUUGCCCGCGUCAGUGGACGUGUUCUUAUUCCUGUUUGAGGCCAAACACCCAGGAGAUCGCCUGUGGGUAAGCCUGAAUGCCAUUGCUGGGAGAUCCAUUUUCACCAUCUUCCAGCAGUCGUACAAGGAUUGGAAGGGGAAGUUCAUCCAGGUUCGCGCAAACGAUAAAGACACUUCCCUUCUCGACGGUUUCCCCUUGUACUGGGUGGACAAGGGGAAAAAGGAGUCCAAGAGCUGCUUCAGGAGGCCCAGAAGUCCUGAUAGCAUGGGAGCUUUGGACCGAGACCUUUGCCUAUUCUGGAAGAGGGUGGCAGAUGCCAACAUAACAUUCUUGACCCCCACCCUGAUCUCCUUCGAGUUCUUUGAGGACCAGUUGGAAUUCCAAAUAGGUUAGGACGCUACACUCUUGUCUUGAUAUUGCUUCUGAUACUGUUUCUAGGCGUCUUGUGCGACACGCACAAGACUUUGGUUUUAUCUUUUCUGCAUAUGCCUGUUUUUGCUGUCUCAUUGCCUUGUACACUUUUCCUUUUUCCCCUUUGAGAUAACUCAUGCACUUUCGUUUCACGCAGCUGGAAUUGCCCCUUGACCAGCUGAGGCCCUAUGGAGGGUGCUUAUAUGGAUUCGCUGGUGACCAGGUGGAGGUCAAGGGGUACAUUGAGCUGAGAACCACGUUUACAGAUGAGGCUGGGUCGAGGACGGAGAAAAUCAAGUACCUCAUCGUAAACGCCCCUUCAGCAUAUAACAUCCUGUUGGGAAGGCCCACUCUUAACAGGAUAGGUGCCAUCCCGUCGACACGGCACAUGAAGGUGAAGUUGCCAUCGAUGGAAGGGGUGGUGAUCACGAUAAAGUUUGAUCAGAAAGAAGCGAAAAGGUGCUAUGAGAAUAGCCUGAAGAGUAAAAGAUGCACUUUGAUUUACAAGUGCGGCUAUAGGUGAAGCCACAUUCGUAAAUCAAGCGCUUUGAUUUACAAAUGCAACUGUUUAUGAUCAGUUUUAGUCUGUAGUACUCAGAAACCCUAUACCUUUUCCUGGGGACUCAAGCCCCUUUUAUAGAUAUCCCUUCAACAACAUUCACUAGCGAGAAUAUAAUCUCAACAUAAAGCAUUUAAUCAUAACAGAAAAACCACCUGUUCACGUGGACCUCUUAUCUUCGGGUGCUAACAACAGGAACAUAUUUUGUUUUACAUGUGCACCAUCACUCUCGGGUGCUAACAAUUUUAUUCCCAACAACUUUGACUUACAUUUAAUUAAAAACUUAUAUAUUCAUUAAUGUAUAUUCAACUAACAACUUUUAUAUUCACAUAUAUAUUUAACUAACAACUUUAUAUUCACAUAUAUAUUUAACUAAAAGAUUUAUAUUCACAUAUAUACUUAACUAACAUCUUUAUAUUCACAUAUAUACUUAACUAACAACUUUAUAUUGACAUAUAUACUUAACUAACCACUUUAUAUUCACAUAUAUACUUAACUAACACAUGCCUUAUAGCCAAACUUAAUAUUUUCUGCUUUUUUAUGAGCUUACCAUUAAAACUGGGCUGAGCCCAUGUGAUGUGAGUUGAUUUUUAGAUGUUUUCAUUUAAGGUGACACUUUACUUUAAGAUUGAGAUUUUAGAGGUAAAAUGGUGAUGACCUUAGAAAAAUUCCCAUUGGACACUAACUUAACCAAGUGGUUAUGUAGGUGUGAAGGUGCAUUUCACAAAGGCAAAGAUAAAAGACAUUGUAUGGUGAGAAUGUAUACAAAUUGAGGAAAUAAAGAAGAAAGCUAGGAAAAAUCAAUGGAAAGGAAACAUGAAGGAAAUAGAAGAAGAAACUUAUGAAGAUGGUGGUGGGUGGUCACGCCACUUGGUGGGUGGAAACCACCAAGAUAAGUGUUAGGCCACCACUUGAGAGUUUCAUUCUCUUCAAGAUAAGACCAAAAGGAAGAAGAGACAAUACUCACUCAAACUCUCACAAUAUUUGUGCAUAGUAACUUUUCUAUUCAAUUUAAACAUCUAAAAUAUAAUGGGUAGGCCUCCUAUUUAUAGGUGAAGGAGCCUUGGAAAACAAGCAAGAAGGGUAGGAUGGGAAAAGGGAAAAAAUGGGCAGCCUUUGAAAGUUGGGUUUCAACCUUGAUGGCAAGGUGAACCAAUUUUUGUAAAGAUGAAUACUCAUAAAGUUCCACCACAUCUUGGAUUUCCCUUCUUAGUCCACUUACAAAUCUAGCCAUUUUAGAUUCCUCACUUUCAUGCAUAUCAAUUUUGGUUAAAGUCGUUUCAAGCUCUUUAAAAUAAUCAUCAACACUUUUUGUUCCUUGUUGAAGUCAUUGGAGCUUCAACAAGAGUUCCUUCCUAUAGUGAGGAGGAACAAACCUAGCACGCAUGCAUAACUUUAAAUCAUCCCAAGAGACCACAAAUGGCCUUUUGUUAAGUUCAAUGUCCAUUACAGUUUUAUGCCACCACUGCAUGGCAUAGUCUAAAAAUUCUAAGGAGGCUAACUUGACUUUUUGGUCUUCUUGGACCUCAUGUACAUUAAAAAUUUGUUCAACUUUAGUCUCCCAUCCUAGGUAAAUGUUGGGAUCACCUUCCCCACUAAAACUAGAAAUUUUUACAUAUAUAAGGCAAAGAAAUUUUAGGAGCAUGGUGCGGAUGUUGGCGCCUCUCCUUAAAGUGGUUCAACCUCCAAUCUUCUUCUUCCUCAUGGCUACCAUAUUGAGUUAAACUCCUUGUAGCUCUUCUAUGCUCCCAUCUCCUUGGUUGUCUUCCAUGAGCCAAUUCAAGCCUUUGGAGCCUCUCCUCCAUUUGUCUCAUUUCUUCAUCCUUUUGUGUUAGGGACCUUUUUGUCGCUACUAACUUACCCAUAAGGAAUGCCUUUUGGGGGGAUUGCGGUUUUGAUGACUCCCCUGAAGAAAGAUGAGCCAUAAUUCACAAGUGAACAAACAAUUAGUGAAAUAGAAGUUAGAAAAUACCCUCUCAAGUUUGCAUCACUUUUGGUGAAAAGAAAAAUCGAGAGGAGCACACUCAAAAAGAAUUUUAUCCUCUCACAAAGGUCUAUCUUGAGGUUGAAAACUCUCAAAUGAAAAAGUUUAAAGCCUUAAACACUUGAUCUUAAUGGAAACCGCAACAAAACUUAAGGAAGAAAUACAAAAGACAAUCAAGAAAAGCUUAAGCAAGAAAAGCUAAACCAAAUUUGAGAAAGAGAGUAUGACAAAACUUGAAAAGGAAGACAAGCAAGAAAAAGACACACAAAAAGACUCUAAGAUACUUACUAAACUUUUAACAAUGAAACUUUUUCUUUAUGAAUUGUUAAAGCAAAAGGAUAAAAUUUCCACAAUGGUUGAAAUCAAUUUGCCAAUCAAGUUGAACCCCAAAUUUUGAAAUGUUUUUCUUUAAGAAAAUGGAACCCCAAAUUUGCGUUUCACACCUUUUUUUUUAUACUAGUUUUUGAAUUGUGGAAAUGAAAUGUCCAUUGUUUUGAUCAUGCAUAUUUUCCAAUAGCUCCAAUUUUCACAAAAAAAUUUGGGAUUCAAAAUAAUUGAUCACUUGAAAUCUUUUGUUUGGAACUUAAAUCUACUUCUACUAAAACAAGUUUCUAAUUACUUCUUAAAAUUUCAAAAUUAAAAGCAAAGUAAAUAGAAUCAAAGUAAGGACUCCUAGAACACUAAUGAACAUAUGACUCAAAGCAAAAGGCAAGAACACAAUAAGACACAAAAUAACAAUCCAAAAGCGAAACAAAGCUAUGGAAAAGUAAAAUGGCCGAAUGAAAUUGCAAGAAAAAUAAAGGGCUGAAAAUUAAAUUGAAAGAAUGUAAAAACAAGAAUUUAAAGGUACUUGAAUGUAAAGAUAAGGAAUUAAAGAUGCAAGAAAGUAAAGUGCCAAUCAACUAAGAUAAGCUCAAAAACCAAAGCUCUGAAUACCACAUGAUGUGAGUUGAUUUGUAGAUGUUUUCAUUUAAGGUGACACUUUACUUUAAGAUUGAGAUUUUAGGGGUUAAUUGUGAUGACCUUAGGAAAAUUCUCACUGGACACUAACUUAAUCAAGUGGUUAAGUAGGUGUGAAGGUGCAUUUCACAAAGGCAAAGAUAAAAGACAUAGUAUGGUGAGAAUGUAUGCAAAUUGUGAAAAUAAAGAAGAAAGCUAGGAAACAUCAAUGGAAAGGAAACAUGAAGGAAAUGGAAGAAGAAACUUAUGGAGAUGGUGGUGGGUGGUCAUGCCACUUGGUGGGUGGAAACCACCAAGAUAAGUGCUAGGCCGCCACUUGAGAGAUUCAUUAUCUUCAAGAUAAGACCAAAAGGAAGAGCAGACAAUACUCACUUAAGCUCUCACAAUAUUUGUGCAUAGUAACUUUCUAUUCAAUUUCAACAUCUAAAAUAAAAUGGGUAGGCCUCCUAUUUAUAGGUGAAGGAGCCUUGGAAAACAAGCAAGAGGGGUAGGGUGAGAAAAGGGAAAAAAUGGGUAGCCUUAGGGUUUGACUAAGUCAAACCCGCAUCCUACGCUUGUCCUUUUAGAAACUAGGUCAAAUUUCCUUAGCUAAACUGAUACCUACACCCCUAUUAUGCUAAAGGCACCUUAUUCUAGCCUAUCUUUGCUAUUUGGACCCUAAAGUGAGCCUAAUUUAUUUACAACUUGUUUUAUUCUUUAAGAAAACUAACAUGAAAAACAUUAGAUGCUCUGGUUUGUGUCAAUUUCUUCCUCUGGUGAGGUCUGCUAAAUCUUUGGUGAGGUCUUCACUUUGUUGAACCAAGUGGUGUUCAAUAUUUUUGAAGAAUCCAAAUCCUUUGAAGGAUGUUGAAGCCUCUGCUUUGCUUGAUGUUGCUGUGCUGGUUUAAGCUUUGUUCUGGGGUAGUUAUAUGUUGUAAUCCACCCUUUGAUUAAAUCUCAAGCAAUUAGCAUCUCAAUCUUUAUGAAAGUAAAAUGUUUUUUCAAACUAAGUUGAAACAACCGAUUGUUUUGUUGAAACAACCGAUUGUUUAUACUUAGGUGUUUUGAGAAAGAUUGAAAACUGUUUUUGAAUGGUUGAAACUGUUAAGUACCAAAACAACCGAUUGAUUCGAGGAAAAAACCGAUUGUUUAUUUUGGAAUCAUAACAAAAAAAUUGUUUUAUGUUUGNNNNNNNNNNNNNNNNNNNNNNNNNNNNNNNNNNNNNNNNNNNNNNNNNNNNNNNNNNNNNNNNNNNNNNNNNNNNNNNNNNNNNNNNNNNNNNNNNNNNNNNNNCUUUGAAUAUAUUAAGAAAAACAGAUUUGAGAAUUAAGAAUCUUUUGACAAAAUUUUGUAAAGAGUUUUUCAAAGAGCUGAGAUUGCUAAGAGUUUGUGAUUGAUCAAGGUGCUGGAAUAGGAUUCUACUUGUAUUGAUUUCAGAUAUUCAUCUGUAACAAGUGUAAUCUUUGUACUCUGUUGAACAAUUUUGUUUCCGUGUUUGCUGAGAUUGGCUGUGUGUUCUUGAGGUGUUCAAGAUAAGCAAUCUUAGUGUUGGCCAAGGAGAGCGUGUUUCUUGAGGUGUUCAAGGUCAUUCUCUUGGUUGUUGUGUAAGUGAUCAAGGUGUGGUUGCUUAGUGGAUAUCCUCAAGGUUUCUGAGAAGACUGGAUGUAGCUCUGGUUUGGAGUGAACCAGUAUAAACAACUGUGUACAAUCUCUCUAUCUCUAACUCUUUAAAUUCAGUUUAUUUGUUGUUUGCUGGUAUAAACAACCGAUUGUUUCUACGAAACAACCGAUUGUUUUUCUGGUACUACAACUUUUGCUUGCUGUUUUGGCUAACUAAAUUGUUGAAUCAAUUGGUUUCUAAGAUAAAUUCAUUCUAGUUUUUGAAAAGUUUGCGAAAACCCUUUUAAACUAUUCACCCCCCUCUAGUUUAAAGCCAUCUUUUCUAACACACUUGAUUGUUGAGAUGACUUCUCAUAGUGUGCAUCCUUUGUCAUCUCCUUGUUGUCUUGGUUUGCAUCACCAUCACCCGCUUUUAGGCCCAAAGUCGACCUAACCACAGCCAAAAGCUUGGAUCGAGGUCUCGAGCAUUCCUGUUAAGUACAACUACCUACUACUUUUAUCUCGCUUCUUACUAUUCUUGGAAGGUCCAGUGCUAGUAUUCCGGUGUUGUUGGUUUCAAUCACAACUUCAACCCGAGAGAUAGGUUCAACAAGUUCAAUCUUUGUUUCGUGUUGAACUUCCCUUUCAAGUUGAGGGGUCAAACCACCAAUUUUGGUGAAUAGUUUUGAAAAGUAAGCUCGCCCUUUCGGAUUGGUAGCAGCCAUCAAACCUAAAACCCUACAAAAAAUUUAGCAAAGUUAAAUUUCUCUUGCUUGAAAAAGAAAAAACUCAAAAAAAGCACACACUGAUAAAAUCCUUUUGUGGUUUACGAGAGGUGUAUAAUCGUAGAAAAAUGCGAGUAGGAAUUUUUCGGGAUAAGUGAUCAAGCACCGAAAGAACAUGUCAGUCUUCUACACUCAUUGAAUGAUAUGACCAUGAGUUAAACUUCAAAGGGGAUCGCGUAUGGAAAUUUUGGGAUGUCGCCAUCAUAGAAAUAAUUUUUUUCGACUUUUUCAAUAAGAAUUUUGACAAAACCGUAGGAGAAAGAAGACAAGUUUUUGACUGACUAAUCAAAGAAAACCAACUUGGUCGCUUACCGAGCCGAGAACUAUAAAAUUAAAGAAAAACUCCCGGACUAGGAGACAAUGAAAAUAAUUUACAUAAAAUACUAAAAGCUUGCAUAGAAGCCCAACUAUUAGGGUGAAGUUGAGUAGGGGCAACAUUGAGAAGGCGAAGAACACCCAUUUGAAAUUCAUCUAAUGGAAACCGAAUAUGAAUGUCUGUAGAAAGACAUUCAUAAAAAUAUAAGAAAUCACAAGUCUCGCCUUCAAGACCAUGACAAACAUUGUCAAUAGCUCGGACUCGCCGAAAAUAAACGAUUUCUUCAGUGGUAUCAGGAGAAUGAUUUUAAGUUUUAGAAAGAAAACUACGAAGGGAUGAAGAAUAGAGAUACCGAGAGAAGUAUUCUCGAACUUUAGGGUUAACCCAAUCAUAGCUAAGACAAAGAUGCCUGUUCUCUUCUUCUCUCUCGGUUCUUUCUUCAACCUCAAGGUCAACUUCUCUAGUUAAAGUACAAAUUUUAUUUUUCACAAAAGAAAUGGUAGCAGAUGAAGCAGACGAAUGAAUAUCUUUAUUGGUCUCAAUCACUCUCCAGUAGCCUCGUUACUCGCGCUCGAAAACCCCAAAAAUUCGUCAGAAAUGAAACAGAGCUUGAGGAAGACAUAAUACCUUCUAAGAAUAUUUGUCUAAAUCUCUCAGAUGCAAGAAUACAAAAGUAGCAAAAGCAGUAGGGUUUACCAUUUGAAACCAAAUAUUUAUAGUGUUCCUAAAAUCAUUACACGUGAAACGUCAUAACAUCGUGAUCGUUGAAUUGAAAUACAUCCAAAGAUCGAGGAUUAAUGAGCUUUCACAUCAAACGGCACAAUAAAAGUGACACACGUGAAACGAUGCAAUCUAUUCGUACGAAAACGCAUUUAAUAUGCAAAAUCUCAUCAAUGUCAAAAUCAAAGUCAUUUCCAAAAAAUCUCUAGUGUCUAGGCGGAAAGGUUGACCAAAAGGUUGACCGGAAGGUGAAAAUCAAAUAAAAGAUAAGAAACGAAUAAAUAAAUAGUUACGGUAGCAAAGCCCAUUAAAGGGUCCAAAACAUAAAGAGUGUGUUUAAAGAAGAUUAGUUGCAAAGAGUAAAGCCCAACUGGGUUGAAGGCCCAAUAACAAAGUGGUAUAAAUAGGUGAUCAACCCAAGAGGUAAGGAGAGUGAAUUUUAUCUGAUCAUUAAUUAAAACCAAUUCUAACUUUAUCAUCGAAGCUCCUUGCAAGUACACACAACCAUUCGUGAGAGGACAUUGAGAUAAAAAACUAAGAGAUUAAGUUGACCAGUCCAGUGAGCAAGAGUCUACAAACCAAACCCAAGCCCAAAUCAAAGAAAUAACAAACCCAAAACCUAAACUGAAAAAAAAUCGAGAAAUCGAUAGGUUCAGAAGAAGAAAGAAAAAGUUUAUUUCUGAACCCUAAGAAUAAUAAGAAAAUCCAUAUAAACAAUUUAGUAAAUAUGUGUUCAAAAUUUUAAAACUAAAGAUAAAAAGGAAUCCAUUUUCUUUAGAAUUAAAUAAAAUAUAAAAAAGAACACACGGAAUAAAAAAAAUAGUAUAAUGAAUCAUGUUCCACAAAUUUCUAAUCAGAUUACUAAUCAUUAGUCGUUUUUUACGUACUCAUAAUCAAUCAAUCAUUCUUUAUGAACACAUCACAUUCACAAAUCUUUAGUAGAGCAUUAUGAACCCAUACUUUUGAUGGAAUACUUUAUCUUCUGAAUUUCUAAGCUAAGCCCAGUUUUUUCAAAAUAAUUCAACUCAUAUAUCUUAGCACACAUAUAACCUGAGAAUAAAAUCCUUCAAAAGAGUGACAAGAAAUUAUACAUUUUAUUUCGAGGUUAGGGACUUGUCAAACACCGUUAUGUAAUUCUAUAUGUAAGGCAAAUUUUUAAAAAUUAUUUAUAUUUGUUUAUGUUCUCGCCAGCUGAUCUUGGUCGGACUUGGAAAAGGCUGAAGUGACUUUGCUUGAUGUGUUGUCGAGAUGAAAAUGCUUUGUGACGAAGGGGGCUCCACCGUUAGAGCAUUCAAACUAUAAAUUUAUAUUAGUGUAGGGUUCAAAAAAGCUUAUCUUUACUCAAGAUUUUAAACCCCUUUUAUAGACAUUCCUUCAAUAAUUUUCACCAACUAGAAUAUUAUUUUAACAACAAGAAUAUAAUUUCAACAACAAAAAUAUAAUUUCAAGAGUAUGAAUAUUUUGUUAAUGUGUAUUUUUAUAUUUCAGGUACAAUACCACAUCAUUCCUAACAACUUUUAUUUGUAUUUAAAAUAUAUAUACACUUUCAUUAAUUCAACUACUUCCAUUUGAUUUUACUUUUAAUAAUUUGUUUCCUAUGGACUGCCAAAUAUUUGAAUCGACCUUGUGACACGACAUUGGAUCCAUACCUGUCCCAGGUCAAACUAGGUAUUUCUCACAUGACUCGUCUAACUGAGCUACUACACUUAAAUGUUUGGAAUGAGAAUCCAAACACGUCCGACUAGUAGAAUUUUUUUAUUUUUAAAUAAAAUUUUAUGUUAUAUAUAUAUAUAUAUAUAUAUAUAUAUAUUACACUAUCCUUAAUUACUUUACAAUAAAUACUAUAUUAAAGUAAAAUAAAUUAUUUUUUCUUUUAUAAGAAACCGGACUAACACAUAUUAACUAAUUAGGUGAAAAACAAUCGACUGAAAAUGGUAAAGUCACGGGUGUUAAUAAAUUUAAAUAUAUAUUCUCUUAAAUAUUUAUAUCGAAAGUAGAAUAUGGCACUGUAAUAAAUGAUUGACUCUUAAACACUAUUAAACAUUAAUCAAAUAAAAAAUGUAAGAAUGACCAUAUAAUGCAUGAGUUGAAAUCAAUAUUUAAUUUUUUUUAAUAAUAUUUGUUACAUGACAGAUAUGUUAAUUGACGGUUUCCUAACAACAAUCCAAUUUUUAAUAUCGAGUUUUUGACUUCUUAUGAGAUCUUUUUCUAAGAACAUAUGUCUAACAGAUCAAACUUCCAUAUAUUUUAUACAACUUGACUUUGUAGACCGAGUGAUGCAACACCAAUUAAACAAAUUAAUUUUGAAAUAAUAUUCACCUAAAUCAUUGAACCAAUGAAGAUCACUGACUCUCUGACUAUAUAUAUAUACUGUUGCUAUUAAUUCCUCCCAGAAUUUCUAUCUUCCUACUUUUGUAUACGUUUUCUUCUCUCUUAAAGCAAGCUCUGUGUUUUUAUUUAUUUAUUUUUCUUGAAAAUCAUUGGCACAUUCCAUUACUUGUCCUAGUUGUUCAUCAGAUGUGAUUUUAAAUAUUUUUUUAUUUCAAUGUCAAAACUUUCAACAACUAAAAAAUAACCCACCUUCGUACUUGGAAAUAAUAUGGAAAGUUCACAUAAACAAACAAUUCAGUAGAAAAUAUCUGACAAAAGAUACAAAAUCACUGCAAGAAUUAACAUGCAUAAAAUAAUUUACUUUACGGAGCUUUUCACGAAACACUACAUCAAGUUGUGCAUCAAGAGUAUUGUCGCACAGAAUCUUUCCAUUAUUAUGAGAAGCCAACAUCACCCCCCACCAGAAUAAUAAAUAUAUAAGCAACAACACAACUACUUAUAAAAAUAAAUUUAACAUAUCUUGUAGAAAAUUUUGACUCCGAUUAAGUGAGUUACUGCGAUUUGUUUUUCUCCUAGAAGGAGCAGCGUUGCUAACGGAUUACCGACUGUUUUGAGUAACCUCUGGAAGAUCAUUUUGGAUACGAGGGGUUUUGAAAACUCCCGGUAUUGUUAGGGGUUUUCAAAACCCCCGCUAUUUUUAGGGGUUUUCAAAACCUCCGGUAUGGUUAGAGUUUAGAAACUAAAGUAUUAUCCGGAGUUUUUUAACCUCCAGUAUUUAUAAAAAUCUUGGUAAAUAUUUUCUAUCCUUUCUACAUUAGAUUUUGUACUUAGUUAUGUCUAUGCAGCAAUGCCAUUGGGACACUGCAUAUUAGGUGGCUUUUUAUAAUGAAGAACAAGAUCAUUCGCCUUCACAUUUAAAGUUUUUCUUGUUAAUCUUUGCAAAAGAUAAAGCCCAAGCCCAAGAAGGCCAAAGCCCACAAAAGUCCAAAGACCAUCCCAUGAAGGGCAAAGCCAAGUUUUAAAUAAAUAUUGUUUAGAAAGGUGCUUAGAGGGAAACAUUAGAAACCUCUAUUGUUAAAACAUCUUUUAGUCUUUAGUUAAGAGUCUUAGGGGGGGGGGGGUGUUAGUAGAUAGGUGUAGGAGUAAAUAAGGAGGUGCCAAAGUGAGAGAAGGGAUCACACCUUCCUCAUGCUUUGUUUUAGGCGCAAAUUCUAGAAGCUUUUUAGGAGGGAGUUUUUUUUAAAUUUGUGUAGCUUACUUUUCAGCACCUUAGGCUAUAAAUAGAGGUGCUCUCUUUGUAAAAAUUCAGAUUGGAAUUAAUCUAAGAAAACUCUACUCAAAUUUUGAGUGACCUUUGGAGAGCUUUUGGAGCCUUCUUCUCUAGUCUUAUCUUGAUGGAUCAAUGGAGUCCUCAAGUGGCGGCAUCACUCUCAUCUAGGAGCAUUCCACACUUCUAGUGGCGAGAUCAUCCAUCCUCCUUCCAUCUUCAUGAGCAUUCUCUUCUCCUUCCUUUCUUCUUCUUCAAUUGUUCAUGUUGCUUUGUGUUCUUGAGUUUUUUCAGUUUCGGUUUUUCUAUUUUCCAGCACUUGUUCUGUUUUGUUGUUUAAUUCUGUUCGGUCAUUCCAGUUUUCAUAUCUUUGUUGAUUCAAUUUGACAAUAUUUGGUUCAUCCAAAUGAGUUUGGGAUUUGGUGCUAGUUAUUGGUGAGUUCUUGUCUUAGAACCAUGAUCCAACUCUAAGAAAAGUGCCUCUAUAUUUUCCAGCUCAAGGUGAUUCCUAAAAAUGUCAAGAAUCUUGUUCUAUGUGGCUAUUGGAAUCACAUCAACAAGUGUAGUAAAAAAAAAUUUUAACAUUUAAUUUUUCAAUCAUAAGUAAUUAAGGUAAAGAAGAUUCAUAGUAAUGCUUCUUUCUUAUAGUGAAAUUAAAUGAUGGAAAAACUUAAUUCAAUUUGUCUCUUCCAUAAGGUAGCUUGUGUGUAGGAAUAAUGUAAAAGUUAAGAAAGGGUUGAAAUUAAUAUCUUCAUGAAUGACAAAUGGAGUAAUAGUUUAAAUAUAAGUUAAAAUUAAUAUACUUUUAAUUUAUUUUUAAAUUUUUUCUAAAAAAAUAAGGUUUUGUUUUCCUAAGAAAAGCCUGUUCCAAACAAUGCAUCAUUUAUAACCAUUCAAAUUCAACAUUUCUAAAGGCAUGCAUUAACUCAAUUGGAUAAAACUCUUGACCUCCUCUUAAAACACCUUUAAUAUUCCCCUAUUCGUUUUUAAAUGUCAUUUAAGAUUAUCUUUAGAAAAUAAAAAUCAAGAAAUACAAUACUUUUUAUUUUAAUAUUUUUUUUUCAUUUCUACAUCAUCGUAAGUAAACUAAUUAUAUAUCAGGUAAAAAUACAAUGAUGUAAAUAAUAGAAGAGUAACUAAUUGCAUUUGCAGUAAUCAAGUAUGCCUAGUUACUAUUCUUAGAAGAUAUAUAAAAAGGCCAACUAAUCAGAAAUUAGGUAACUAUAAUCAACAAACUUUACAUAAACUCAUUAUAAAUUUAUUCAAAAAUAUGGAAAACAUGCUAGUUGCAUAUUCAUACCAAUAAUUUAUAAUCAUCAUCAUGGAAAUAUUGUAACAACCAAAAAAUAAGCAUUUUAAUGGUUAAACAAAGGAGUCAAAAUUUAGAUAUAUCACAAUUCAAAAGAAAGAUGCAUAUAUAGAGGUUAUAAAAUACAUAACAAACUCCGACAACAAAUAGAAUAAUAAUAGUCAAACAAACUAUAGUAUAUUUGAAAUCAAAUCCUACCUUAGAUAUCUAGAGGGCAUAUUUUUUACCUAUCAUUAUAUGACUUCCAAUCAUUCUUUGCCACAGUAACAAAAUAAGCAUCAAAAGUUAUUUUAAAAAUAAACUAUAUUACUUGCAAUGUUAAAACACUAGAAUGGUUCUUAAUCUGGAUCAUUUGUUUCAUCAUUAGGAACACUUCCUUGAUCAGAUGCCUAAUAUAUAAAAAAUAGUCAUAAUUAGUAGCAUUUCAAUUAUAAUAUAAAAUAUAUAUUAAUUUAAUCAAGAUUUAAAUAUUAUCGGUGAUGUGUGAAACAUAACAAAAUCACAACCAAUUCUCCUUGAUAGUUUUGCACCAAAACAAAUCAUCAUUGCCUUCAUUUCAUUAACUUGUGAUGUUAAUGAAGAAACCUAGUUUAGAACACAAACUUCAUUUCAUUAACAUAUUUAAUAAGAAUUAAAAUAAGUUCUAAAUAUAAAGUUUAAACAUAAAUAAUAUAUGGAUACACAAUUAAACAAGUAAAAACAAUAUGAUAAAGUAAAAGUAAAAAAUUAUUAACCAGAUUUUGUAAAUGUGUAUAGGAAGGAAAACUUGAAGAUGUUCCACUAUAUGAAUGAGCACCGUAACCAAACACUUUAGGUGGGCAAGGACCCAAACCUAAACCCCUAACACGUCCACAAUGUUCUCGGCUUCCGAAAACAUAAACUAAGGAAUCAAUAUUUGAUAUUUCUUUUGAUGUGAAUGGUGAUGAGGUUAAUUCAUAUGCUUGAACUUUUUACUAGAAAGAGCACAAGAAGAAACUACUUAAUAUUACAUUAAAUGUGGUUGAAAAUUAUAUAAUUUAUUAUAAUUGAACUUACACCAAUUUCCCUUGCUUCAUCACUCACAAAUGCUCCAUUAGCAUGUUUAUGUGUAGCUAUCCAUACAUCUCCUCUACUAACCUUGUGGCCACACUCUUUUUCCUAUUAAAAGGAAGAAAAAUUAUGACACAAUGUAAGAGAGAUUAAAACAUAAAUUUGACAUGAACAUUGUCCCGAUCAGGGAAAGCUGCAUGCAUGGCACAUGAAUGCUUAGGGAACCCACAAAGCAUAUGGCGCUAGAGAUUAGGUGCACAAGUUGGUACCCAAGCGACCACUCUGUUAUUCGUUGCACUCCAGUUAAGGGAAGUUCAUGUGCCAGAUACGCUAAGAUUAUGUAAAUAGCGGCGCAAGGACAUUCCCCAAGGAACCCUAGAUAAGGGUAACAACACAAAGGUAAACCCUAGUUUCAACCUAUAUAAAGGGUCCAAGAACCCUAGCAAGGUACAUAGUUUCUAAGAUUGAAGUUAAUAUACACUCUUGGUGUUUCUUUGCCCUUAUACUGACUUGAGCGUCAGAGUGCAAACGACCAUCAAGGUGCCCCUUUAUCAUUGUAGGUGAGAGCUUCUUUGAUAAAGGAAGUACGAUUCUCAGGCGGAGAUAGAAGGGCCAAAAGCUCUUGUUCGAGUGAACCGGCGAAGCGAGUCAAUCGACAAGAACAUUUGGCGCCCACCAUGGGGCCCGUUAAAGAAAGGUCCCACUCACAAUCGUGUUAGGAAUCUUUACGUGUUAAGAAUCUUUACCAGCAAUAUGAGGAGUACGAGGCAAGGACAUACUGCACCCACAGGAGUUGUACCCCGUGGAGGGGACAACGUUACUACACAACAAAUCUUGGAGACUAUGAGUGCCCUCCAAGCAGAGGUGGUGGCAUCCAGGGUUGUAAUUGUCGCAUCACGAGUGAACAACGAAGAACUGCAUAGAGCCAAUGAGGAACUGCGCAGGGAUUUGCAACAAGUAGGGGAACGCGCGGUGGACGAACGUGCCCCACCUGUGCCACUCAGGGCACGUCCCAUGCUGUUCUCAUAGGCGAUCAUGGAUACAGCGUUACCGACCACGUCUCUGGGCCCGAAGGUCACCUUCACAGGAGUAGAGUACCCAGAUGCCCACACACAGAUGAUGCUUACAGGAAGAUCUGACGUUGUGUACUGCAAGUUGUUCAUGAGCACGUUGGCAGGCGCGGCGUUGGAAUGGUUCGUUAGCCUUCCCAACGAACAUAUCACCACCACCUUUGACCAGUUUGCGACGCUGUUCAGGGAACAGUACCUUGUCAACAAAGCCCCCACUCGGCUUUCUUAUGAUUUCUUCGAUAUUAAACAAUAUUAGGGGGAGUCCAUGAAGGACUACUUGAACAGAUUUGAGGUCCAGGAGGUGAGGUUGAAACCCACGGAUGAGGCCAUGACGGUGCAUGCCUUUGUCAAGGGAAUCUUUCCAGGAGCUUUCAGCGAAUCGCUGCUAAGGUUAUACCCGAAGACGUUCACCGAAAUCAGACGUCGAGCGUUGGCACACAUCGCUGCAGAUGAUCGAGUAACGGAGAAACAGGGUUUGGUCGGUCCUAUCCGACCUCGAGCAGCAGGACGACCUCAGCCCAUGAGGGUGCAUGAGGCGACCAAGAGAAGAAGGGAGCAGGAAAACCCUACAAACGGUUCCAGGCGAGGACGCGCACACGGAGGGACCCGCCCCCGAAGCAUAAUUUUCGAGUGGAGCUCAAGGAGUUCAUCACUAUCCCAAAUAUAGCAGCAAGGCUUUAGGUGCCCGCAUAGAAUAUAUGGCCUUAAACGAGAGAGGGGUGAAUUGUUUAAGAAGAAUUUUCGUAAACUUUUAAGCCUAGAAUGAAAAAUACUUCAAGAAAACCUUGAUUAAGAAUUCACUUUUUCAAAACAUAAAGCAAAAGCACAAUAUUGCAAAAACAAUCGGUUGUUUUACCGAAAGAAUCGGUUGUUUAUACCAGUUUUUAAUUGACAAAACUGAAUUUAAAGAGAUAGGGAUAGAGAAAUUGUACACAGUUGUUUAUACUGGUUCACUCCAAAUCCAGAGCUACAUCCAGUCUUCUCAAAAACCCUGAGGAUAUCCACUGAGCAAUCACCACUUGAUCACUUACACAACAACCAAGAGAAUUACCUUGAACACUUCAAGAAACACACUCUCCUUGGCCAACAUUAAGAUUGCUGAUCUUGAACACCUCAAGAACACACAACCAAUCUUAGUAAACACAGAAACGAAAUUGUUCAACAGAGUACAGGGAUUACACUUGUUACAGAAGAUAAUCUGAAAUCAAUACAAGCAGAAUCCUAUUCCAGCACUUUGAUCAAUCACAAACAACUUAGCAAUCUCAACACUUUGAAAAAAUCUCUUAUAAAAACUUUGUCAAAGAUUCUUAAUUCUUCAAUCUGUUUUUCUGAAUAUAUUCAAAGAUGUAGUUUGUUAUCAAAUCUUAACAAACUCUUAAAUUGCAUUAAAAGAGUGGUCAAAGCAUUUAAUGACUGGAGCGUAAGCAGUUAAAUCAUUUAAAGCUCAAUCAAAGAAAACAGUUUUUAUGUUAUGGUCCCAAAACAAACAAUCGGUUGUUUUCUCGAAUCAAUCGGUUUUUUUGGUACUUAAUAGUUUAACCAUUCAAAACAGUUUUCAAACUUUUUCUCAAAACACCUAAGUACAAACAAUUGGUUGUUUCGACAAAACAAUCGGUUGUUUUUACUUAGUUUGAAAUUAUUUUAUUUUCACAAAGUUUGAGAAUGCUAAUGCUUUAGAUUUAAUCAUAGGGUGGAUUACAACAUAUAAACUACCCCAGAACAAAGCUUAAACCAACACAGCAACAUCAAGCACAAUAGAGGCUUCAACAUCCUUCAAAGGAUUUGGAUUCUUCAAAGCUUGAACACCACUUGGUUCAACAAGUUUCACUGAGCAAAUGGCCACAACAUACACAAUUGCUUGGUCCAUCUUCCUAUCGGUUCUUAAAGAACGGGUUCUUAAAGGAUUAUCUUCAAGAGCCACAGAACGAUCAAGCGUUGGUAAUUGCAGGGGCAGACCAGGGGCACGAGGUGCCCAUUCACGAGGAGAUCAACACGAUCUCAGGAGGAUUUUCAGGAGGAGAGUGCACCGCCUCCCAGCGAAAGAAGUAUGCGUGAGAGGUAAUGGCGGUGGAGUUGCAGUAGGUAGAUCAAACUCCUGACGUCGACCUCGUCUUCACCAAGGCUGACCUCCAGGAUGUUAUACCUCAUGACAAUGGCCCGGUAGUGAUUUCGCUAGUCACAGCAGGAAGGAAGGUGCACCGCGUCCUCGUGGAUCAAGGAAGUUCGGCCGAUGUGAUGUUCUGGUCGACCUUCAACAAGUUACAGCUAUCCCCAGACCAGUUAAGGCCCUAUACCAGAUGUUUGUAUGGUUUCGCUAGAGACCAGGUGGAGGUGCGUGGGCAUAUAGAGCUGAAGAGAAUCUUCACGGAUGGCGCGACUUCACGCACUACCAACAUCAGGUAUCUCGUUGUUAAUUCUCCGUUGGCCUACAAUAUACUGUUAGGUAGACCAGCUUUAAACAGGAUUGGAGCAGUUGCCUCCACGAGGCAUAUGAAGAUGAAGCUUCCUUCCCUUGAGGGUAUGGUGAUAACCAUCAAGUUUGACCAAAAAGAGGCUAAGAGUGCUACGAAAAUAGCCUCAAGACAAAGAGAGGGUUGUUCGCUGUUACAACCCAGCCUCCAAGGGAAGAAGGGAUCACACGUGCAGAGAUCGCCCAGGAGAAACAACCCGAACCCGCCAGAAACGUAGUAGAAAGAAAGAUCGGUGGGAAGAUGUUUAAGCUUGGCCAAUCUUUGAGCCAAGAGUUGCAGGAUCAUGUUGCCGAGGUCAUAGCGUGGCACCUUCACGCCUUCGCGUGGUCUGCCUCUGACAUGCCUGGCAUAGACUCUGACUCCCUUUGUCAUCGCCUCACCAUGGACCCUUCGGUCUGACCUGUUUGCCAGAGAAGACGAAAGUUCAACGAGGAGAGGCGUCAGGUUGUUCGCGAAGAAACAGAGAAAUUGCUAAAGGCUGGCCACAUAAGGGAGAUUCAGUACCCCGAAUGGCUAGCCAAUGUGGUGUUAGUGAAGAAGGCUAGCGAGAAGUGGAGGAUGUGCAUUGACUUCACAGAUCUCAACAAGGUCUGUCCGAAGGACUCGUACCCGCUGCCCAGUAUUGAUGCCUUGGUGGACAACGCGUCUGGGUGCAGAUUACUCAGCUUCCUGGGUGCCUUCUUUGGCUACAACCAGAUCAUGAUGCACCCACGGACAAGUCCAAGACAACAUUUAUGAUAGAGAUGUCUUGUUAUUGCUACAAGGUAAUGCCCUUUGGACUAAAGAACGCAGGUGCCACCUACCAGAGGUUGAUGGACAGAGUGCUAGCGCCCAUGUUAGGGCGAAAUGUCCAAGCAUAUGUGGAUGACAUGGUGGUCACCUCCUGGCAGAAGGAGCAGCACGUAGUAGACCCGGAAGAGCUAUUCACCAUGAUAGCAAAGUACAGGUUGAAGCUGAACCCAGAGAAGUGCGUGUUCGGGGUUGAUACAGGCAAGUUCUUAGGUUUCCUACUCACUGAACGUGGGACAAAGGUGAAUCCUGAUAAAUGUGCUGCGAUAAUAGCCAUGAGGAGCCCGAUCUUGGUGAAAGAGGUGUAGCAGUUGACAGGGCGCAUGGCCGCUCUGUCCAGAUUCGUAUCGGUAGGAGGAGACAAGGGGCACCCUUAUUUCCAGUGCUUGGAGAGAAACAACAGGUUUGUAUGGACCCGGGAGUGCGAAGAGGCGUUUGUGAAUCUAAAGGAGUACCUAGCUAGUCCACCAAUGUUGUGCAAGCCAAAAUUAGGUACCCCACUCCACCUAUACUUCGCAGUUACAGAAAAGGCGAUUAGUACGGUUCUGCUCCAAGAACAAGACCAAGUGCAGAAGGCGACCUACUUCAUCAGCAAAGUACUGCAAGGGCCAGAGGUGAGAUACCAGGCCCUAGAGAAAGCAGCUCUGGCGUUAGUAUUCUCAGCGCGAAGGCUUCGCCACUACUUCCAGAGCUUCACCGUGAUAGUAAUGACCGACUUUCCAAUUUGCAAGGUCUUACAAAAGACAAAUGUGGCAGGGAGAAUGGUAAGGUGGGCAGUAGAGCUGUCCAAGUUUUGCGUACAGUAUGAGCCUAGAGGUCCCAUUAAAGGUUAGGUUUACGCUGACUUCGUAGUAGAGCUCUCUUCGGUAGCCACGCACCAAGAAGGAGCAUGUUUCAGAUGGGUGCUCUCUAUGGAUGGUUCCUCAAACCAACAAGGCAGCGAGGCUGGUGUCAUCUUGGAAGGACCAGAUGGGUUGCUCAUUGAGCAGGUCCUACGGUUCGCUUUCAAGGCCAGUAACAACCAAGCAGAAUAUGAGGUCGUAAUCGCUGGAAUGCUGCUGGCCAAGGAGAUGGGAUCGAAAGGUUUGCUGGCAAAGAGUGAUUCUUUGUUAGUCACAGGUCAGGUCACGGGGGAAUACCAAGUUAAGGAUCCUCAAAUGGCUGCAUAACAAGAGUACGUCCAAGUUCUGAAGGAAACGUUUAAGGUGUUCGAGUUAGUCCACGUACCCAGAAAACAGAAUGCCCGAGCAGACUUGCUAGCAAAGCUCGCCAGUUUGGGCAAGGGGGGGCAAGCAGAUGACAGUGAUUCAGGAGACCCCAAAGACACCUCGAACUACCGCGGAAAACUUGGCAGAAGUCCAACAAAUUAGCACAUUGGAAGGGGUGAGGAAGAGUCAUCAGUCGUUAACAUAGGAGACGGUGAAAACGCACAGAAUAAGCAUGUACCCGGUUGUUGGGGAGAUGUCGUCGCAAGUUUACCAAGUUGAAUCAGGAGAAACUUGGAUGACACCCUACCAACGCUAUUUGGCUGAUGAAGUACUCCCACUAGAACACACAGAAGCCAGAAAAAUCAAGAAAAAAUCAAACAAGUACACCUUGAUCUACGGGAAGUUAUUCAGGCACGGGUUCACCCACCCUAUCCUGGUGUGUGUAAGUGGCGAGCAAUGCACGCGCAUUAUGGCAGAACUACAUGAGGGGAUAUGCGGUAGCCAUGAAGGCCAUUCGUGCAGGGUAUUACUGGCCAAUCAUGAGAGAAGAUUGCACGAGGUACGCCCAGCGGUGUAAACAAUGCCAACAACAUGCUGACUGGCACAAGGCUCCUCCAGAGGAGCUGAGGUCGAUCUACAACCCAUGACCAUUUCAUACUUGGGGGAUCAACAUUUUGGGGCCCUUCCCUUUGGCAGUACGACAGAUGAAGUACCUCGUGGUUGCCAUAGAAUAUUUAACAAAUUGGAUCGAGGUUGAGCCAGUGGCACAGAUCACAGCCCAUAAGGUCUAGUACUUCGUGUGGAAGAACAUAGUGUGCCGCUUUGGAAUUCCGAAGAGGUUGGUAUCUGACAACAGUACCCAGUUUGCAAGCCAGCAAUUGGGUAAGUUAUGUACAGAGCUGGGAGUGAAACAGGUGUUCGCGUCAGUAGAAUACCCCUAGACAAACGGGCAGGUCGAGUCUGCCAACCGAGUUCUGCUCAGAGGUCUGAAGAGAAGGCUAGACAAAGCCAAGGGAACCUAGGCGGAAGAAGUUCCUAGAAUUGUGUGGGCCUACCACACUACUCCCCAGUCCACAACUAGGGAAAUACCCUUCAGCUUGGUGUAUGGUUCGGACACCAUGAUUCCAGUAGAAAUCCAAGAGAACUCGUCGCGUUUCCAGAACUUCGUGGUCGAGGAGUCCAAUGAAGAGAGAAAGGUGAACCUGGACCUACUAGAUGAAGUAAGGGAGGAAGCAAGGAUUAAGGCUGAAGCCUUGAAAAGGAGGGUGAAGUAUAAGUACAGCUCCAAGCUGAGACCUCAGCAGUUCCAGGUCACCGACCUGGUGAUGCGGAAGGCCCACCCGUACCAGUUGGAAAACAAGCUAUCUCCUAAGUGGACCAGCCCUUUCAGAGUAACGGAGGCCCUUGGGAAUGGAGCAUACAGACUCGAAACGUUAGAGGGUGGAGCGAUCCCUCGUACUUGGAACGCGACCAAUCUUAAGUUUUAUUUUAGUUAAAAAUAUUUUUCAUUGUACACGUUUUAAGGGGACACUCUUUUUCCCUCAUAAGGGUUUUUUUAACGAGGUCACCCAAAUAAAAUUUCAGUUAUUCAGUUGAGAAAUAUGUGUGCAUUGUAGUUAAUGAACCUCUCCCUUGAAGUGAUACACUAAGAGCAGAGGUAGUGUGGUUUCCCCAAUAAGCCCAUCUUGUGUAAGUUCACCAAGGUGAAGAAUAGUAUGGUUCUCCAGUUAUUGAACCUCCCCCUUGAAGUAAUGCGCCAAGAUCGGGAAUAGUAUGGUUCGAUGGUGAACCUCCCUCUUGCACAAGUUUACCAAGGCUGAGAACAGUAUUGUUCAAACGUUAAAGGCUUGCCCCUUGACUUUUUAUAGCAAGGUCUUGGUCAGUUAUUCAGACUUGUCCCUUGACUUUGUACAGCAAGGAUGAGGUCGCUAAGAGUCGUUCACUCGAGUUAGAAACACCAAGAUGAGGGAAGUGUGGUUCCUUAGGGGGGCCUCCCUCUUGCGUAGUAACUCCAGGGUCGAAUAGCAUGGCUCACUAGUUAAGGUCACCCCUGCCUUCGCAUUGCAAGACCAAGAUCAAAAGGAAAUGCUUCCCCCUUGUUUACAAGCCAAGGUUUUAGGCGGUAUGGUUCCCCAGUAUUACCAGCAAGACAUUCCCGUCAAUCUAAGGAAGGUAGGGACGGGAUCAACAAAGUCGCCUUACUUCACAAGAAGAAGAUCAAGAACAGCGAGAGGAGUUUACCCUCAGACAAAGAUCGAGUCAGUUAAGGGAUUCGCGCACACAUGAUAAAGCAUACGAAGUUAAAACGUGCUACCAAAAGGGCGAACCUAGGUCGAAAGCGUUGUUAGUAGAAGUCAAGGCAGAAAAACGCAAGCUAAAGCAGCUAAAACAAACAGUUAAACAAAAGAUAAAUAUUCAUAAAGUUAUAUGUACAAGGGGUAAAUUGUCCUUCAAAAAGACAGAGUUACAGAAUGGUCACUCUCGCAACAUGAGUUGCUCAUCAACGACGCACUUAGACUAACUGAAAGGGGAAAGAUCCACCUCAGAAUGCACACAGGCAAACUGAGCGAUGACAUCUUGGAACCCCUCAUCGUAAGUAUCAGCAACAUCUUUGGUGAGCUCCCCCUCCGUCUUCUUGAAGAGCUCAACCCUUUCGUCCAGCUCCCCUUCAACCUUCCUCAGCAGGACCUCGCAUUGGGUGGCCCUCUCUUCCAGCUUGGCCAUCUUCGCUUUCAUCUCCUCGACCUUCUUCUCCAGGUCGACCACGUUGUUGCGAAGAGGCAAGAUCCGCUUCCAGUUGGACGGCCUCGUGGCUCUUGUCAAGACGUGGUUGGCAAAGGCCUUGGUCUUGAGGGAUAGUUCUUCCUCCAGCUCCGCCAUCCUGGCCUUGAGUUCUUCUGCUUCUUGGGCCCUACUUAGCGCAAGGCUGAAUGCGAUUAGGAAGUCCCCGAGGCCGUGGGCCACAUGAUCAUCGAAGAGAUUACCGCUCAAGCUCUCCAAUACUUCCUUGACUUGGAAGCACUUGAGGAUUUGCUGAAGCAGCAUGGGGAGCUCGGGAGUGGAAGGCAUUUGCUGACCUUCAGGGGCGCUCUCCCGCUCACCUUCGUGAAUAAUAAGGUGGUGCGGGGAGGAGGCGCUCAGAGGAUUAUCUCUGAAAGCUGGAGUUAGCCCACUAGAUGCAGAGGGAGAAGGCACCACGACUUCGCCCACCCUCUUCCUUUUGAAGACAAAGCCCGUGCACGUGUCCUUGUCGUCCGAGUCAAUGACCACCACCCCUUUCUACCUAUCGUCGACAGGGGCUGGUACGUUUGUGUUGGGGGCAGAGGUAGCUGAAGUUGGAGGAGUUCUGGGCGUUGAAGUGCCCACACCGAUAGCGGCCGCUUUGCGCUUGGCAAGCAGGUCAGCCAAUUUCUUCUUCUUAUCCUUGUUAAAGCCCAUAUAUGCAUGAAAACAACAAGUCAACAUAGGUAAUAAUGAUAAGGCAAGUCAAGUGCAGGAAAGGGUAAGAAAGGAAUGAGAAGAGUACCAAUGUAUUUCUUAAGGUUCUUGGGGUUGAACUCAUGUUUGAGCAGCUCCUGCGGAAGAAGGUUCUCGAGACUCCGGGGCCUCUGGAGGUUGGGUUUCUCCGCCCAAUAUAGGAGGAACCCAUCAAAAAGGGCGGGAUCCCUCCGGUUGCUUCAUACCUUGAAGAAGUUCUUCUUGAACCCCUUGUAGGAUUGCUGGAAGAGCGUUAGAAGCACCCUCUCAGUGACGUUGUUGAAGCUAACCCACAACUUCUUGUCGGGACUUUUCGCUUCGAAGAAGAAGAGGAAAACAUCCACCGAUGGCAUAUGACCAAGACAGUGGCAUAGGAUGGAAAAGGCACUUACGAACGCCCAACUGUCGGGGUGCAGUUGGGCGGGGGCGACAUUCACCUUUGUUAGGAGCGCUCCCUCGAAGGGGGUGAUGGGUAGUCGAAGCCCAAGCCUUCGAUAAACGGUGGAGUAAAUAAAGCAGAAGGGGCUUUCGGGGUCCGAGGAUUUGUCAGCGCACACCGACUUUCCUUCCCGACAAGUCACUCUCCUCACAAACUUGUCGUGGUCUUUGCCAAAGACGCGCGAUUUAUGAAAGCUUUGUUUUUUUUCCUAUAAGCGGCUAUGCUCUCGAGGGAGGUAAAACUAGAAGUCUCCUCUAGAAGAGCAGUCGACGCCCAGCGGUACAAGGACCUAUAGAAGGAGGCGGAAGGAGGAAGGAUCGGUGACGUAGAUGGAACAGGGGAUGAAGACAAAACAGAGUUAGAAUCUGAAGGAAGAGCUGAAGUGGGUUCUUGUUGGGUCAUCUUAGAUAAAGAAGCUAAAAAAGAGAAACUUUAGAGGAAGAAGAUGGCGCAACUCGACAGAACUAGGAAAAACCAGAAAAUAGAGACUCAAAGCGUAAAACAGAGAAAAUGAAUGCACAGAGAAAUGCAGAAAUCAUAAACAGUCUCAGACAGUUAUAAGCAUGUUACAAGCAGUUGAAUCAUAAAUCGCGAAGCAAUCGGUGAAUAAAAAUCAUACCUUUGAAUAUUGAGGUUCGAAGGUUUGGAGUUUUAGAAGAGAGAAGAGAAAGCGUUUUCGCAUAUAUGCUCAAGAGAAAGUUCGCAUAAGUGAAAGUAAUGAAACAAUGAAGGAGAGCGUAAAGGGUUAAAGGUUUGAACAGUGCACGAAGAAGUUCGAGCGCCAACAAGUCCCCAUCGUUGACCUUGCCACGUGUACACUGAUUUGAAAAAGUUGGUGAGACGUCGCUUUGGCGUACUGUUCACGACCCGCUACCUAGUGCCACGUAGGUCGCCCAACGCAAUCACUUAGUCCUUUCACUGGAACAAGUUACAACUCGAGACUGGGGGGCUUGUGUCCCGACCAAUCCUCGGUCAUCGACCCAGUGACUGACCUCAGACAUCACACACCGGUGCUUGGUAAUGGAAGGGGGGCACGUAAGGUGGGCCCUAGACGCACCUACCAGAGGAUUGGUUAGUCUUCAGACAUUGGUAUCAUAGACCUCGAUGUUGGAGAUGGAUAUCGGACAUCGACGGACUGAACAAUGUAGUAGGCCACGUAAGGUGGGUCCUAGAGUUAUGCUAAGUUAACAGUUAAGACAUGAGAUAUGUGGGAAGCCUAAAUCACGAAGGAUCCAUGCACGUGGUGUGUAUAACGCAUGCAGGCGCGACACGAGAGAAUAAUCCUGGGAGGCGCUAAGGCCCAUUAGGGUUAGGGUUUCCAGAAAAAGCUGCAUGCAUGGCACGUGAAUGCUUAGGGCACCCACAAAGAAGAUGGCGCAAGAGAUUAGGUGCACAAGUUGGUACCCAAGCGACCACUCUGUUAUUCGUUGCACUCCAGUUAAGGGAAGUUCAUAUGCCAGAUACGCUAAGAUUAUGUAAAUAGCGACGCAAGGACGUUCCCCAAGGAACCCUAGAUAAGGGUAACAACAUAAAGGUAAACCCUAGUUUCAACCUAUAUAAAGGGUGCCAAGAACCCUAACAAGGUACACAGUUUCUAAGACUGAAGCUAAUAUACACUCUUGGUGUUUCUUUGCCCAUAUACUGACUUUAGCGUCGGAGUGCAAACGGCCGUCAAGGCGCCCCUUUGUCUUUGCAGGUGAGAGCUUCUUUGAUCAUGGAAGUAGAUUCUCAGGCGGAGAUAGAAGGGCCAAAAGCUGACGUUCGAGUGAACCGACAAGAACAAACAUAUGUAUAGAUAUCACCAUUUCAUCUCUUUUCCUUGAAAUGCUCUUAGAUCCACCUGUGUGAGCAAUGGUUUGCUUUGUCCUAUUCUCUUUAUUUUUUAGGGAAUUUUCCUAAUCAUCAACAUAUAAAAAUUAAUAAGUUUGAAUGUAAAUGUCUAAAAAAUAUUUCAGUUAUACCUUUUUUUUAAUUUAGACGAUAAUCCACAAAAGAAGCCCAAUGAUCUCUAUUUAUUCCUUCUAAAGCCAUUUCAAUCAAUUCAACUCUUGUACAUGUUCCAUCAUUCCUUUGUUCCCACAAUUCUUGUCGGUAGUUUCUCCAUUUUGUGUUAAGUGAUUUAAGGACAUGAUUUAUAUGAACAUCAGAACGAACAUCAAAUUUAGCCUUCAAAAUAGUCAACAAUUAAAAUUAACAAUAAUUAUAAUAUAUUUAAAUUAUAAAUUAAAUUAUAGUAUAGUUUUGGAUAUGAUUACCUGAAUAGUGUGUUUAAGUAUAUCUUCUUUAUAAACUUUAGGAACCUUCCUCUAGCUAGAAUAACUAAUAGGAAAUACAUUAUAGUUUCUUGCCAUACUACCUAAGAACCUAUUCAAUAAUGCUCCACCAUCUACAAUUGGUUGACCCUUAUUAUUCCAUUGCACAACAAUCCUUUCAUUUGGAGGUAGAUGCCAAACAUCAUUGGUUCUUAGCUGUUUUGUGUUUCUCUUUCCUUCCUCAUCUGUGAAAUAAUACAAACAUUUGUCUUAAGGGAUAUAGGACUAAACCAAAAAAUAAUAUUGCUUAUAUAACUAUAUAUAACAUUGUAUGCUUUUAACAAAUUGAUAGUGGAUUUAUACAAAUUUCCAUUUUGAACUUGAUAUAUAGUGGCUUACCAAUGACAUCAACAAGCCAUGCUCUUUUGCAGGCUGUAGGCCUUUGUUGAUGUGUUUUCAACUCAGUUUCCUCAUUUUCUUCCUCUUCAUUUUCCGAAUAUACAUUUGAUGUACCAGGUAUUGUUGGUCCAGGUACAUGUUCAAAUUGAUUUGGUGGCUCAGAAUUACAUUGAGGUGCAAUUGGGGGUUGAACAAUGAAUGUAGGAGCAAAGUUGGUAUGACUAGUUGAACGUAUCCUCACUUUCAAAGUUCCUGAAAAUAAAUCAGCAUAAUAAAAAAAAACAAUUAUGUCUAAUGAUGUGAGGGUUAAUAAAUUUGAAAAAGAAGUGAACACAAAUUACUUGGUUGAGGUGCCGUUGGAGGUGCAGGGAGAGCAUGUUUAGUACCUUCUUGUGGUGCAGAUGGAGGUGGAUGGGGAAAGGUAGAUGAAAUACCUCUAGGAUUACUCGUUUCAGGAUGAAAUUCUCUAUGAACCCUCUUGUCUAUCCAAAGGAUGAUCGUGUCCGACUUCUAAGUUGUCUUCGUAGAGUGUCUCUAAAUUCCCUAUGUGAAACAUAUAAAAUAUAUAAAUUAUAUUAAAGAGAAAACCAAUUAUAAAAAAACUAAGGUUUAUAAAAUUACUGCAUAAAUGGAUCAACUAUGGUGUAGUUAGUUAGUACAUGACGAUGUGCUUGCAACUUUUCCUUUGCAGAUAGAGUGCAAUUAGUAAAACCCCUAACUGGUUUUUCGACUGGCGGGAACAAUGUAUUUUCAUUAGAAGGCACUGUAGCAGGCUCAUCAUUAACAUGUGCAAUCGGUUGAAUACAAUUUCAAUUCCAUCUAAAUAUCUCAAAUAAAAAGUUAAAGCCUCUUCAGCCAAGUAUCCUUCCGUUAUUGACCCUUCUGCUUGUGCCUUAUUACGUACAUAGGACUUUAAUUUCCCUAGAUAUCUCCCAAUGGGAUACAUCCAUCAAUAUUGGACAGGUCCUCCAAGCUUGGCAUCUUCUACUAGAUGCACAAUUAAAUGAACCAUGACAGUAAAAAAAGGAGGAAAUAACAUCUCCAUGUGACACAAUGUGAGGACCACUCUACUUUGUAGCUGAUCAAGUUCAUCCAUUUUAAAACUUUAUUACACAAUUUUUUGAAAAACAAACCUAAAUCAAUCAAAACAAAGUAAACUUCUUUAGGGAGUGUCUUUCUCAUUGUCAAAGGUAGAAGCUGCUCCAUCAAAAUAUGUGAGUCAUGACUUUUCAAUCAUCCAAACUUAUGUUGCUUGACAUCAAUGCAUCUACUAAUGUUACUAGAGUAACCAUCUGGAACAAUUAUGUUUUUCAAAAUUUUGAGAAAGAUAUCUUUAUUUACAUUUGUCAAUGUAUAUAUAGCAUGGAGAUAUCUACCAUUUUCAUCAGGCCAAAGAUCAGGUCUAAUACUCCAAAGUUGUAAAUCCUUUUGUGCCUUUAGAAUGUAUUUGCAUUUAUUUGAACUAUCAUUCAACAAUGUAAACACCACAUUAUCACAUACAUUUUUUUUUCAAUGUGCAUAACAUUCAAAUUGUGGGCGAUAAGUUCUCUACCCAAUAAGGAAGUUCAAAAAAUAUACUAUUUUUUCGCCAUUGUUGAGUGUCUAACUUUGCAUGAUUAACUCUCCGUUGUCUUUUGCCAGUUCUUAAAGUACCGGUUCUUUCCCAAAUUCAACAUUAAAAUUCUGAACUUUUUGUAAGACAUCAUAUCCUGAGAUUGCCAAAGGUGGAUUCCUAUUUUCAAUAGUUCCAUCAAAUCUCAUGCGAGCUAGUCUCAAUUUAUGCCUUCCAUCUAACCAACGUUGAUGACUCAUGAAACAAAAUGUACCACCUUUAAUAAGCUUCAUAGGAGUUGUAUGAAAAUUACAUCUAGGACAUGCCAACCCAAUAUGUGUGUUCCAUCCAGAUAGGGUUCCAAGACCUGGAAAAUCACUAAUAGUCCACAAUAUGGAUGCAUGCAUAUCAAACACUUCAUUUCCAUAUGAAUCAAAAGUUUUGAUGCCAGUGUUCGAUAAAUCUUUCAACUCUUCUAUUAGUGGUUGUAAACAUACAUCAAUAUCGUUUCCUGGAGCUCGCUUUCCAGGAAUGAUCAUGGAGAGAAUGAAUGAACUUUGUUUGAUACACAUCCAAGGAGGAAGGUUGUACGGUAUGAGUACAACUAACCAAAUACUAUGACUAAUGCUUAAAUUGCCAUAUGGAUUAAACUCAUCAGUAACCAAGCCAAUUCGUACAUUUCGAGGGUGUGAGGAAAAUUGAAGAUGUUUAAAGUCAAAUGUCUUCCAUGAUUUAGAAUCUCUUGACAUAAACUCUUGGAGUCUGGAGUCAAAAGUCAAACUUUUAUCCGAACAAGGUUUUUAUUAACAAAUUUUCAAGAAAUAUAAAAAGAAACAUGGAGUAAAAGAAGCAAAGUAAAUAAGAGUUUUUGUCUUCUUCUUGUUUGCUCCCCUUAAUCAACCAUCAUCUUUUAGCUCUAAGGAAUUUUCAACUUAGUUCCCCUUAGGUUAAGUUUCCUUUCUUUCUUUCUUUUUUAUAUUAUCUCAUCCUUUCAUCUUGUUUUCGUCUUCUCUCCCUUAAAAAUCACCAACAAAGGGGUUGCAGGCUCUUAUAUUUCUUCUUCUCUUUAGAAUUUGUCUCGAGGUUCUCUCAUCUUUUCUCCUUUGAAAUUUGUAAACUUUUCUCCUUUCUAGAGUUUACCUCUUCAACAUAUUUCAAACUUUAUAUAUUCCCCUUUAAGGACCAUCAAAAGAUGACCUUUUACCAAGGGAGGGUGCUUUCUCACCUUUAAUUACAAAUAACUUUUUUCUGGGUGUGAUGAUUAUCUUUUCUUCCAUUUGAACAAAACUUGUUUUUUACGAGACUAUCGUCUUAUCAUACACAUGAAUCUUCAUGUUCAUGUUCAGUACUUCAGGUAAAUUUACUUACUAGUUGUGAGCAAGUGCAUGAACUUAAUGGCGACCAAAUCCUGAGCAAUCGGAGGAACACGAUGGUCGGGAUACGUAAAGGCUCUUACGGUUUUGUUAUCUCUCGUCAAUGGCGGACACUUCGUUUUUCUUUACUAACUUCCCCGAACAUUUCAUGGAGAGAGAUCUUUGGAAGGUUUUUCAAAGGUGGGGAAGGGUUAUGGAUGUCUUUGUUUCAUGAAAGCUCAAUGCAAGGAACAGGAAGUUUGGUUUCGUAAGGUUCCAGGGUGUGAAGGAUGUUCUUUCUCUGGAAAGAGAGUUGAGUGCAAUCUGGAUUGGCACUUGGAAGAUGCAGGUGAACCUUCCCAAAUAUCAGAAGAAGGAUGGACCAAGGAAGCAAAGGAAUGAAGGGUCAAGUUUAGGGCGGAACCCAAAGCUGAGCACAACGAGUGGGAAGGGGAAGCAAACAGAGCAGGUUUCGUUCGCUCAAGUUGUCUCAGGGGGGGCAGGCAAGCUCAGAACAAGCGAGAAUGCGGGUAGCUCUUUGGGGGGUGAAGUCGAUUUUCAGGUUACAGUGGAGGUAGAACAUGAUGAUUGGUUAGAAGGAAGCUGCGUUGGUAAUCUGAAAGAGCUUCCAAGCAUGCAAGUGAUUCAGGAGAGCUUUGUGCUGGGAGGUUUCAGCCAAGUCAAAGUAAGAUAUCUUGGUGGUAGGUUCGUUCUGCUUUCAUGCGAUGUUGGAGGGAGUCUGCAGAAGAUCAUAGCAGACAACAGGUCAUGGUUCAACGAAGUGUUCUCGGCGGUUACCCGCUGGGAUGGUUCUUUCGAACUAAAAGAACGUUUUGCAUGGAUACGAUGCAGUGGAAUCCCGUUACAGUUCUGGUGCAAUCACAGCUUUUCCAAAAUAGGGGCCGUGGUGGGAGAGGUGAUGGAGGUUGACGAAGCAACUGAGAGAAGAGAAACAGUGGAGUUUGCUCGGUUUAGAGUUAAAACAACGGUCAGGUCAGCCGUCAAUAUGGAGAAGGAGUUGUGUAUCAAUGGCAGGUCGUGUAAGGUCGCCUUUGUUGAAGAGUUGUGCGUCCCGAAGUGGAGUCUUGGCAAGUGGAAUGGCGGAGCUUCAGAGGUAGACACCGAAGCUAGCUCUGAUGACGAAAGCGUAGAGGCUAGUUUGUGCGAUUCAGUGGGGUCGGAGCUUGGGAUGGCCGGAGAUGGAGGUGUGGACGCCGUCGGGGAAGGAGGAAUGGUGAUGGAAGAGACGGUGCAGGGCAAGGUGGUCCCGGGUUGUCUUGGUAAGGGGCGUGAGGGAAGGGUUCAAGAUCAUUUAAGAGGGCCAUUGAAUGUGCACGAUAAUUCCUUGAGAGAGAGAGUGGCUUUAGUGGGUGGGCACGGUUCUCUUAGCUUUUCAAAGAAAGAGAAAGUGGAUUCCUACGUGGAGGUGGCUAGUUCCAAGGAGUCCAAGUCAGCAGAUGAAAAGGCAAGGAGUAAUGGUGGUGUAGGAGUGAGUAGGUGCACGUUGAGUGGUUCUGUGAGGGUAGGAGCGUCUUUUCAAGCGCCACCUCAAGAGCCUUUUCUAGAAGUAGGAGUGCAGGAAAUUAAUGAUGGUGGGACCGCUUCUUUAAAGGUGUGUUCCCCUAUGAUUAGGUGCGUGGAAAAUGGUGUUUUAAGUGUGAAAGGAGUGGUGGGGGAUUUAAAGUGUCAAAGUGCACUUAUGAAGCCGUGCAACAUUAUUUUGAGCGCUCAGGAUGGUUGUCACGAAGAAGAAGAAGUUGAAGUCGGGACUGUUUCAAGACAGACGAGUUUGGUGAGUAGGGUCGCUGACUUGGUCGCUGACUCGGUAGGGAUAAGACCUUCUUUGCACGAUUUGGAACAGUCUGGGACCAGUGUGAUUAAAGAUGGAGUUGUCGGGAGUUCGUUAGUCGUAAUGGACAUCCCAAAGUCUCCAGUAGUCCAAGGUUUGACUGAUAGUGGCUCGGCUGACCCUGGAAAGCCAGAUGAUGCAGAGGAGGCAAGGAGAUCAGAGACGUCAAAGCCGAGAGACGGUGGGUGCGCCUCCCCUCCAGGAGGACAAUCAGAGGUUUUAGGGGCGGGUUUGGAAGACGAAGUGGAAGGUGGGGGCAACAACGGUGAUAUGGAGGGCAGGGUGCCGGGUUUGGAUGGAGAAGUCGUGGGAAGAUAGUCCUCAGUGGAUCAAGUGUUUUUGGUUCACCAAACAGGCAGCUCGUCGAAUUCACUAUUCACUUCUGAUAGUGCAAUUGAGAAUUGUAACAGGAUUUUUUGGGUGAAGACAGAUAAGAAUUUGGCUGCAAGUGUCUGGGGAGUAGGGAAAGAAGUUGGGUUUUCGCUCGCUGAUCGAGAAGAGGUAGUUUUAGAUGGUAUUUAUUCGUUAUCUAAUCAAGGCGAGGUGACUACGAGGAGAAUGUGGAAAGAGAGGAGCAAGUUUGUUAAUGAAGAUUCUUAGUCUGAAUAUCAGAGGGAUAGGCGGGGCGGUAAAAAAGAAUUAUGUCAGGGAUAUGAUUAGUAGGGAGCUGGUGGACAUGGUAUGUUUACAAGAGACAAAGUGUUCGGAUUUUAGUAGAGAAAAGGUGUAUCUUAUUUGGGGAACCAACGAAGUGGAUUGGGUGGAAAACAAAGCAGUUAAUAGUGCAGGUGGGGUGAUUACGAUGUGGAGCAAUAAGGUUUUUCAGCUGUCCAGUUUCAAGAAUGGUAGGAACUUUUCAGUGUUAGAAGGGGUUUGGAAGAGGGGUUUUGGAAUCCACGUCACCAUUGUGAACAUUUAUUGUUCAGGAUCUUUUCGGGAAAAGAAGGAGAUGUGGAAUGAGAUCAGUGGUAUCAGACAGGGUCAGCUAUUGAAGGCUUGGUGCAUCAUUGGAGACUUUAAUUAUAUAAGAAGGCAGGAGGAAAGGAAGAGUUUGGUGUCGUGCUCUGAUUACUCUAGAGAAAUAAAGGGGUUUAAUGAUUUCAUUGAAAGCUUUGAGUUGGUUGAUAUUCCGCUGGUGGGCAGGAAGUUUACUUGGUUCAAACCCAAUGGUUUGGUGAAAAGCAGGAUUGACAGGGUGCUGGUAUCCAAGGAGUGGUUGGAGUUGUGGCCAAACAGCCAACAAUUUGUCUUCAAUAGAUCAAUCUUGGACCAUUGCGCUGUUAUUCUGAAGGAAGUUUCAGUGGAUUGGGGUCCGAAGCCGUUUAGGUUUUUGAAUGUUUGGCUGAAGGAUAGUAGGUUUAAGGAGUUUGUGAGUUCGAGCUGGUCUGCUUACAAGAUUACAGGAGGGGGAAUUUUUGUGUUUAAAGAGAAGCUGAAAAAGUUAAAAGCAGACCUCAAGGUGUGGGAUAGGGAAGUAUUCGGAGAUGUGAAUCAGGCUAGUAAGGAAAUCCAAAAAAAGGUUAGACGAGUUAGAUUCUCGUGACGACGAAGACGGGUUGAUGGAGUCCGAAAGGGAAGAAAGAAAGUCUCUCUUUGCUCAACUAUCUGAGUCCAAAUCCAAACAGGAGGCGAUCUUAUUCUAGAAAGCAAGGCAGAAUUGGAUAAAGCAGGGGGAUCACAAUACAAAGUUCUUUCAUUCCGCGGUUAAGUGGAGGAGGGCAAGGAACCAGUUACAUGGUUUUUUUGACAAUAAUAAAUGGUGUGAUGAUAAGGAGGAGGUAAAGGAUAAGGUUAGUAAGUACUUCGAAGAAAGGUUUGCCCGGAACGAUGUUUGUCAGGUCACUUUGGAUAAUGUCAGGUUCAAUACCAUAUCGGAAGCUGAUAACGCUAUGUUAGUCAGCGUCUUCUCAGAAGAAGAGGUAAGAGAUGCGAUUUGGGGGUGCGAUAGUUCAAAAAGUCCUGGUCCCGACGGGUUUAACUUUGGUUUUAUAAAAUCUUGUUGGGACAUCUUGAAGAAGGAUGUGAUGAACGCAGUAAAGGAUUUUGCUGAGUUUGGAUGUUGGCCAAGAGGAUCAAACGCAUAGUUUCUUUUUUUGAUUCCAAAAGUUGAAAAUUCUCAACAGCUGGGGGAGUUCAGACCUAUCUCAUUAGUAGGUUGCCUGUAUAAGAUCAUCUCAAAGGCGCUCUCCUUGCGCCUGAAAAAGGUGAUUGGAAAAAUCAUUGACAUUAGACAGACGGCUUUUAUAGAAGGAAGAGGUUUGUUGGAUAGUGUGCUUAUUGCAAAUGAGGUUCUUGAGGAUUACAAGAGAAAGAGAAAACAAUGUAUCUUCUUUAAAGUCGACUACGAGAAGGCAUACGAUUCGGUGAAAUGGGAAUUUUUAUAUUAUAUGCUAAGGAGGUUGGGUUUCUGUGCUCGGUGGAUUCGUUGGAUCAAGGGAUGCUUGGAGUCAGCUUCGGUGUCGGUCCUUGUAAACGGAAGCCCAACUAGGGAGUUCUUUCCUAGAAAGGGUCUUCGUCAAGGUGAUCCGCUUGCCCCUUUUCUCUUCCUUAUUGUGGCGGAGGGGUUAGCUGGGGUGACAAGGGUAGCAGAGGAAAAGAAGUUGAUUGACAGUUUGGAGGUUGGGAAGAAUAAAGUAAAGGUAAAUAUGUUACAGUAUGCGGAUGACACUCUGUUCUUUUGUGAAGAANNNNNNNNNNNNNNNNNNNNNNNNNNNNNNNNNNNNNNNNNNNNNNNNNNNNNNNNNNNNNNNNNNNNNNNNNNNNNNNNNNNNNNNNNNNNNNNNNNNNNNNNNNNNNNNNNNNNNNNNNNNNNNNNNNCAGCGAUUCUUAAUUGCGAUACGAUGGUUCCUCCGUUCAUUUACUUGGGUCUGCCAGUCGGAGGGAGUCACAAGCGCGAUGCGUUUUGGAACGGGGUGAUUGAGAAAGUGCAGGCUAGAUUAAGCAGGUGAAAGGGAAGAAGUUUGUCGAUGGCUGGGAGGAUUUGUCUGAUUAGGUUUGUGCUUUCUUCUAUUCCGUUAUUUUUUAUGUCUUUGUUCAGAUUGCCUGCUGGGGUGGCAAAGAAGUUGAUCAAGUUGCAAAGGGAUUUUCUUUGGGGCUGGGGUGCAGAAGGGAGGAAGAUCGCUUGGGCUUCCUGGAACCUGGUUUGUAAACCUCGUGAGUUUGGGGGGCUUGGAAUAAUAGAUCUGAGAUUGUUUAAUUUGGCUCUGUUGGGAAAGUGGAUAUGGAGGUUGGGCUCGGUUGAGGUAGGUCUUUGGAAGGACAUCAUUUUUUCUAAGUACGGUGGGUGGAGAGAUCUGGGAGAGGCAAGUAAUGGUAAGAGUUGUUCUCUUUGGUGGAAGGAUUUGAAGGAAGUUUGGUAUUCGAAGGGGUGGGGGAGAUGUUUCGAAGAUAGUUUUGAGUGGAAGGUUGGGAAUGGGACGGACAUUUGUUUCUGGAAGGAUAGUUGGUUGAUGGGUGAGGCGUUGAAGAAUGUUUUUCCACGACUUUUCUCAGUUAGCUCUAACAAAAAUGCAAAACUGCCGGAACUUGGGACUUGGUCUAAUGGGAGAUGGGUUUGGGGUCUUGUUUGGAGAAGGCCUUUUUUCGAAUGGGAGAAGCCGGCGACGGAUCGAUUGAGUCAGCUCCUGCUUGGGGUUGAGGUUGUUCUUGAAGAGACUGAUAGUUGGGUUUGGAAGGGUGGGGGUUCUCAGUCAUAUACGGUUAGCUCAGCUUACAACCUUUUCAGGAAGGAUAAUGAGGCGAUUUCCUCGCAGGAGCUUAGAAAGUUGUGGAGGAGUAAGGCAAUUCCUUCUGCAAUGGUUUUGGCUUGGAGGGUGUUGGAAAACAAGCUUGCUACCAGGGUCAAUCUUAGUAGAAGAGGGGUUCUUUUAAAAAGCUUGAGGUGUGUGUUAUGCGGGAAGGAGGAGGAGUCGAGUAGCCAUUUGUUCUUUGGUUGUUCGUUUGCUUGGCGAGUUUGGUGUUUAUGUUUUAAGUGGCUAGGAAUCCUGUUUGUGACUCAUAUUGAUCCAAGGAGCAAUUUCGAUCAAUUUAGAUUGAGCUUUCCUUAGGAGACGGGCCUGGUUGUUUGGAACACGAUCUGGGUAGGGGUGAUUAGUGAGAUUUGGAGUCACAGGAAUCGUAUAAUUUUUAAUAGUGGAGUGGCAGACGAGAAAGAGGUCUUUGCUUUGGCACAGGUAAAGACUUGGUCUUGGCUCUCAACAAAUUCCCGGUUAGUUUCGUUCUCUUAUUCUGAUUGGUGUUUGGCUCCUUUGGAGUGUACGAGGUUAGUUUCUUGAGGUUUUUGCUUGGUUUAGUAAGGGGUAGAAGUGUUGGGUUGGUUUUUAGAAGGAGAUAGCUGGAAUUGGUUUAGUGUUUUAUGUAUAAGGGUUGAACCACCUCUGAAGUAGUUCUAUUUUAUUUUAUUUAUUUUUUAUUGCCGAUAAAAAAAAACGACUAUCGUCUUAUGAAUAUAUCUUAUAGUUUUUAAUUGUACAAACCCAACAUAUACAAUGGUAUUACGUAGACAAUCACAUCGUCUAGUCAUGUUGCAUAGUAAAAUCAAUCAUAAAAUCAAUAACAUUUAAUGUUUAAAUAAAUAAAAAAAUAGUAUGUGAUGUUUCCUUUGUAUCUAAUCCUUUGACAUGAUAACUUUGUUUGUGUUGACUUUGACAUGUAGAUAUGCACAAAAGAAACUCUUGUAGAUAUGCACAAAAGAUACAAGCAUCCAUUGUCUAAGAUCAAUCUUCAUUUAUUUCCUCUUCCUAUACAACAUAUCUACAACAUAAAUUAUGAUCUAUUUUGGUAGUGCACUUUCUUGGGUCUUUUCUUCUUAGUUCUAGAUGAUUGCCUUUUGAGUUUGCAUCUAACACUAGGGUAUACAAACUUACCACAAUGAUUACAGAUAGCCUUAACAUGAAUUUUAACGUUGUUUUUUUUUCUUUUUAGGUUAAGACCAAAUCCGUCUUAUGCAUGUUUGGCGUUAGAAAAUAUGAGUUUUAGAGAUUUUAAGCUCUCAACAGAAUUUUCAAAAUCACGCCUACAUUGUGUUAUUUUUUCCUCCAUAUGUUUUAUUUUAAAGCAUUAUGUGCAAGGAUUUGUUCAAGGCAUGAUGUCUUUUCUUUAUAUGUAAUUAGGUCUUGUUUGAGUAUUUCAUUUUCUAUAAACAAAACUUGAAUUUUAAUUUUAAAUACUGCUCGAAGAUCUUAUUGCAUAUAGUAAGAAGCUCUUCAUAAGAUAGAUCAUCUUUAUUAGACAAUGAAUAUGACAAGUCUAAUGAGGUUUUGUAAAAUACGGGUUAAGGUUAGAAGUUACCUCAUUAUCUAAGUAUGGCAUGAAAUAUAGAUUUGAAGUCUCUGCGUCUAACCUAGAGCUUAAGUUUGAGUCUUUCCACGAAGACAUCAAAUUUCUCCUUUUGAAUCUUUCCUUUCUUUUAAGCUUUAGGCACUUCGUCUUCUAGUGUCCUGAUUGUCUACAUUCAUAACAAUAUGACCUCUUGAUUAUUUCAAUUCCUUUUGUAGGCAAAUCAUCUACUACCUUGAUCUUUUUUUAAGAAGUAUGCUUAAACUUUCUUGACAUUGCAGAAAACUCCUCUCUUAUAAAUUUGAGUGAUAUAUGAAAUUGUGUUUUUGAAAUUCUCAACACACUUCUCCAAGUCUCUCUUUUAUAGUACUCAUUUGCAUUUAGAAACUCAAGAAAUAUGGUAUAACCUACUCCUUGACCAUUGUACCUUGUAAACUCACGUCCAAAUCCCAUAAACCUUCAUAGUCACAAACCUUGAUAAAUUCUUUAAAAUAUUUGAUUUUUUUUAAGAACAUAUUAAUUAAUUAUUACUUAACAUAAUUAAUUAUCAUUAGUUAAUUAAUCCAUAAUGUUUAGUAUCGAUCAAUUGUCUUGUAUAUGUUUCGAAACCUCUUUCUGCAUUUAAUCGAUUAUAUUUAAUAUAAUCGAUGGUCACAUGUUAUUCUUGCUCAUUUAAUUGAUUAAGGUUAAUUAAUUAUAUGGUUCCAAUUGUGUUUUUAUUUAGCUCAAUAAUUUGAUGGAUUGCGAAUUUCCACGGACCAUUUAACCAUAACACUUAACAAUAAGAAAGGAAGAUUAUCAUAUAUCCCAAUAUUAGGUUAUUAUAAGAACAUCUUAUUAAUUUCACAGUUCAAAAUAAUAAGAACAAUAAUUUUGGUUUCACCUUGUGAAUGAAUCACAUUACAAAGUACCAUGCCUCUAUUUUACAUCCCUUCCCUUUCUUUCUUUCACCUUCGUUUUUAUUUUUCUAACAUUCCUCAAGUGUAUUCCAUAUCUUCUCCAAUAUUUUAAAAAUGGUUAACAUAACAUGUACCUAAAUAUUUAAGUACACCCUCAAUAAAAUUCAAUCAAAACAUAACAGACAUAUAUUUAUUACAUGAAGACCAGUCAUUUUUAUUUAUUUAUUGUAAUUGCUGUACUAAAAGUACAUUUUAUCCAUCAAUAAUUUAGUGUUUUAUUUUACUGAUUUCCUAUUAUUUGAACUGAUGUUUUUAAUAGUAGUGUUACAAUUAGAAAUAAAAUAUUAAUUAGUUUUGAGAAGGUAUAUGAGACUCAAACACUUCUCUUUAAAUGACGUAUCCGUGUCGGACACAUGUAUCGGUGUCGACACUCAUAGGAUACUUAUCAAUAAAGUGUUCAAUUCAAAAAAAUAUUUGUUGGAUUUUUUAAAAUUCUAACACGGUUCUAAAACAAAUUUAAAAGGUAUAAAUACAAUAAUUUUUUAAAAACUCAAAUUUAUUGUAUAAAUUUUUAUCAUGAUUAUAAAAAUAAGGAACAAAUUCUUUUGAACUCGUUAUGAAAAAUAUCUUCAUGCUCCGAAAAGAAUCUCAAACAUACUUUUGCACAUAAAUAUUUAUUUUCAAUUUAUAUAAUUCAAAAUUAUAUAAUAUAUAAAUUCGUGUCCCCGUGUCCUACAUUUUAGAGAUUAUACGUAUCUCUGUGUCCGUAUCUGUGUCGUGUCAGUGUCCGUAUCCGUAUAUGUGGCAACGUGGUGAUUUGAUUUAGUAGGAUCUAAUUUAUAGUUUCAUAAAGAAGGAUUUUCUUUUGUGACUAUGUUGUCCCAUAUUUUAGAUUGCUUUAUUUGUUCAUGGGUUUGAUUCCUUUUCCUCCCACUUUUUUUUUUUUGGGUAUUAUUUCAUUUAAUCAUGUUGCAUAUGAAUGAUAAUGGUUGAAGUAUCACCUAGUUGAACUUGUAGUCAUUAUGGUGAGAUAUCUUUGCAUGUUUUCUGAAGAACAAAAAGUUUUGGAAGAAAUGGUACGGAUCUAGAGAACUACAGAUAUAUGAAGAAAUUAAAAUGAAAUCAGUAUUAAAUUUUAAUGUAUAGUAGUUCUGCAUAAAAAAAGCAAUAUAUGCAGUUUUUGUUUUUUCUGUUUUUUCUCAAUCAUAUAUGUAAAGCACCUAGUGCAUAAUAAUAAGUAUUAUGUUUUUUGCUUUUACUUUUUCUUUGUUUUCUCUUUCUCAUCCCUUUCUCACGAAAGUGUCUAUCACUGGCACCACUUAAGCUUGUGAUGAUCUAAGCCUUUGUCAAUGUCUAGUGUCAGCAUGUAUACAAUAUAGUAUCAUAGUGGGUUAAUCCUGUUCUGCUUCCGUUGUUCCUUUCUUCUUUUCAUUUUGCAUUCUUGAUUGUUCUUGUUUCUGUUUUUUUUUUUUUCUUUCUUUUGCUGGUCUAUUAUGGCUACAGAAAACUAUACCAAAUCAGAAAAUAGAACCAGUUCAAAUGAUUCCUAGAACCCAUCAAGUCCUUACUAUUUGCAUCUUGGAGAAAACCCAGGAAUGAUGCUAAUCAAUAUACAACUUGAUGGUGGAAAUUACCACGCUUGGAGGCGGGGAAUGAAAAGAGUGCUUCUUUCGAAGAAUAAACACAAGUUUGUUGACAGAAGCAUUCUCGUACCUCAAUUUGGUUCAUCUUUACAUAAAUUUUGGGAAAGAUGCAACUUGAUGGUGAUAUCUUGGAUAAUGAAGACGGUGAAUACUCAAAUAGCUCAAAGUAUUGUCUACAUUGAAAACGCAAGAGAAUUGUGGAAAGAUUUACGGGAAAGGUUCUCAAAAGGUUAUCAUUUUAGGAUUUCAUAUCUUUUGCAGGAGUUACAUUCUAUAAGGCAAGGGGAACGCGACGUUACUAAGUUCUUUACAAAAUUAAAAACCUUAUGGGAGGAGCUAAAAUCCCUAAGACCAAUCCGGAUUGCGUUUGCAAGAUUAAAUGUAGUUGUGCUUUGAUAAAAAAUGUUGUGAAGCAUAGAGAAUCAAAAAUACGUGUUAUGUUUUUUGAAGGGUUUGAAUGAAAGAUAUGCUACUGUUGAGACACAGAUCUUACUCAUGGAGCCACUUCUAAGUGUCAACACGUUUUCUCUCUCGUUAUUCAACAGGAAAAUCAAUUGACUGGGAAUGCAAUGGUAAAUAGAAAAAUAUUAUUAAAUACUUUAGGUAGUCAAGGGAGCUGGAAAACGCAUCAUAAUGGAGGAUGGAAAUCACAAGGUAGAGGAAGAAACUAAUACCAAAAUAAUGGUAAGCAGUGUACUUUCUGUCAUAAAUUGUAUCAUACAGUUGAUGAGUUACUCCAAACAUGGAUUCCCUCCAAUUGGGCCUUCUUGGACCCAAUGCAACUCUAGACCAUCUAGGGUGCACAAACAAAUUAUUGGAGUGCAAAUAGAAAACAAGGAGUGGCAAGGAAGGCAUGAAGGUCCACAUGUCAUCUCUUUAAUGGAGAGGAUUCUCCCCAAUUAGGGGAGGACACUUGUCAACCUCUAAUUUGAGAGGAUUUGCCGAUUAGAGAGAGUCUCUUGUCCUUCUAUGAAUGGAGAGUUUUUAGGGUUAAAGGUUGCACCUUUGCUAGCCUUAUUUCUAAGUGUUUUAGCAAGGAACCUCUUAGGAGUUGGCCUAACCUCUCUUAAAAUAUUAUUUUUAGGAAUGAGACUAGGUUUGGCUACAUUACGAAAAGAAAGAUUUCCAAACCAAAGAAAGUCAAAACUCAAUCUCAGAGGAGAUGGUCCAUUCCAGGUCCUUCAACGCAUAAAUGACAAUGCAUAUAAAUUAGACCUCCAAACUGAUUAUGGAGUUAGCACUACUUUUAAUGUUUGUGAUUUGAUUCCUUUUGUAGGUGGUGCUGACAAUGUUGAAGAAUUGAAUCUGAUGACAAAUCAUUUUCAAGAGGGAGGGUCUGAUGGACGACUAUUCGGAAGAACACAUAUUGGGCCUUUAACUAGGGCCAUGGCUCGAAGAAUGAAGAAGAAUAAAAAGGAGUUCAAAAAACUCUAUUUUUGUGGAGAAUUAAUUUUUAACUUUUCAUCCAAAUUUCCUAUUCUUAUAAAAUUGUACAAAGUAGUAUAGGCUUUUAUUUUGGGUUUGUAUUUCGGUCAUUGUUUGGCCCAUGUAUUGGGCCAAUUUUCAUGGACCAUGUAUUGGGCCAAUUAGAGUAGUGUGUAUAUAGAAAAAAAGAAAGAGUCUAGCUAGAGUUACAAUUGAGCCUCCUUGGACCCAAUACAAAUCUAGACCAUCUAGGGAGCACAAAUAAAUUAUUAGAGUGCAAAUAGAAAGCAUGGAGUGGCAAAGAAGACAUGAAGGUCCACAUGUCAUCUCCUUAAUGGAAAGGAUUCUCUCCAGGUAGAGGAGGACACUUGUCAACCUCUAAUUUGAAAGGAUUUGCUCCAAUUAGAGAAAGUCACUAGUCCUUCUAUGACUGAACUUUUUAGGAUUAAAGUUUGCACCUUGGCUACCCAUAGCACUAUAAAUACAGGUGAUAGCCCCCUUGUAAAGGAGCUUUGAAUAUACUAUUGAAUUGUUGUCAACAAUUUCAUACUCUACUAGUCUUUUAACUCACUCUUUGCUAGCCUUAUUUCUAAGUGUUUUACCAAGGAAUCUCUUAGGAGUUGUCCUAACCUCUCUUAAGCUUCAUUUUCAUUCUCCAUACACCAAUACUUCACAAUUUAUUUCACUCAUUUUAGUCAUCCAAUCCCACCAAAUUCCGCAUCCCAAAAUACAAAACAAAAUACUCAUAACAAUGCAGGCUAGGAUUGCAUUAGGUUUGUUCUUUCCCAGCCACUCCAACUUACAACUGAAGGGCUUUUGUGAUUCGGACUGGGCAACCUGCCCUCAAACUAGAAGACCUACAACUGGAUUUUGUGUGUUUCUUGGUUCAUCUUUAAUUAGUUGGAAAUCCAAGAAACAAUCCACUGUUUCACGGUCGUCUUAUGAGGUUGAAUAUCGUGCUCUUGCAACUCUUACUUGCGAGAUUCAGUGACUAACUUACUUGAUCAAUGAGUUCAGAAUACAAACUGAGACACUUGCAGUUGUUUAUUGUGACAACCAGUCUGCAAGGUGUAUUGCCUACAACCCAAACUUUCAUGAGGGAACUAAACACAUAAAAAUAAAUUGUCAUGUUAUUCAGGAAAAAUUUCAAUCCAAAAUCCAAACUUUUGCAGUUGCUUCCCAUUUCUAGCAAUUAACAAGUGACAGAUUUUUUACUAAACCUCUUAAACAAGGGAUGUUUGCAGCAACAGUUACUUUACUUUUGCAGUUCUUUUACUUUUUUUUCUCUGUUUUCUCUUUUUCAUUUCUUUCUCACAAAAGUAUCUAGCAUCGGCAACGCUUAAGUUUGUGAUGAUCUAACCCUUUGUCAAUGUUUAGGGUCAUUAUGGAUACCAUAUUUCAAUAAUUAGCAACUCAAAUAUUCUAAAUGCUGGUUUAUAAAAAAUCAAGAACUUGAGGAACUCAUGUUAUUGGAAACCUAUAGCCAUACUCUAUUACAAUACAACCACAAUUUUCCAAGCAUAUGAGUUCCACGUUUUGCUGCCAUAUACCUUUCUUUUUCAAAAAUGGCAAGUGCUCCUUUAGUCAUUUACCUGCUUUACCAAUCUUAGUUGGUUUUCUCCACUUUAGCUAAACUUUUGUUAUUCAUUCGUUCUCAUAAUUCCAAGCUGGGCAUAGCAAAUUAGAGCAUCAUUUUCUUCAGUUUCUUCUAUUUUUGUGUGAGUUUUUAUGCUUGGACUUGCUUUGAUGUGACUGAGCAUCCUUAGGGUUAAUCCAAUAGUUUGAAAUUAAUGACAUACUACUCAACCUUUGGAUGAGAAUUUGAGUUGUUGGGAUGGAACUAUAAUGAUGAUAACCCUUUCCCUUUUUUUUACUUUGACAUGUUUGUCUUUUUUAAUUCCAACUUUGGCUUUAUCCUGAACUUUUUCUUUUGUGAAUUCAUAGUAACAAAGGCACGCAAUACAGUUUGAAAAGAAAAAAAAUCUCAGAAAAGAAAAUAAAAUAGCAAACGUGUGUUGACAGAUAUAUAUUCAACGCGUUAGCUCGUGAAUAUAUUACUUUUUUUAUUUUAAGUAUCAAUAAUCAAUAUUUAUUAAAUUAGUCUAUAAAAGACUAAGGUUGUGUUUGGAUUUAGGAGUGGAAGUUUGAGGAUUUGAGAUAGUGAAUGUGUGAGGAUUUUAGAAGAAAGUGUAAAGAAAAUAGUGUUUUGGGUUGGGCUAUGUUAGGGAGGAUUUGUGAGCAAAGUUAAUUAAAGAUGUGAUUGUUGAGAGAAUAUUUUUCUUUUUUUAAAGUGUAAAAUGUAAGAUUACAAAUUUAUCCCUAUCUUUAAAAAAUAGAAUAAUUAGAUAUUUGGUAUUUUUGUCUAAAUUUGGGUGAAUUAAAAUUACUACUAAUAUAAUCCGAUAUAGUUGAAUAAUUAAUUUUAAAAAAAAUACAAGUUAAUUACCUGCCAAAAAAUAAUUUACAUGUAAAAUUUUGAAUAUAUGUAAAAAUUGUACAUUGUUAUAUAAAAAUAAAUAAUUUAAAUAUUCAUAAAUUUAAAAAUUCUAAUUAGAAAACUUUUUUAUUAAAUAUAAAUAGUAUUAUUAUAUUUAUAAUCAGUAUUAUUAUUAUAUAAUUUAUUUAUUAUAAAUAACUACAUAUUUUUUAUUAAAAUUUUAUUUUAUUAUUAAUUAUUAUUAUUUAUUUUAUUAAAAUAUUUGUGUUAGUUAAAUUUAUUUAAUAACUAAUAUUUGUAAUCAAGUCUACUUUUUAUUAAUGAAAAAUGUAAAGAAAUGUGAAAUUCUAAAAUAAAAAAUGGCAAAUUUAAAAAAAACUUAAUGUUGAGCUGAUUUUUCCUUUGAUUCUCUUCAUUUUAAGGGAAGAAGAGAUUGACUAUUCACACUUAUAUUUUCUCCUUCUCUUUUCCACAAAAUCAUAGAUCCAAAUAAAAGAUAUAGUCUCACAUCUUUGUUUGUAAAAAAUACAUAUAAAUAAAUAGAUUCUAAUAUAAACUAAUUUGAAAUAUAAAAUAGUUAUUAAUUAAAAUCUUGAUAGUUAAUGAUUAAAUAUCAAUUUAAAAUUACUUUAUAAAUUUUUAUUAAUAAUAGAAAUUACUUUUAAUAUCAAUAAUUUUUUAAUUUAUAAAAUAAUUAUUAAUUUAGUGUAAUGAAUUAUUUUAAUACUAAAGUUCUUUUUUAUUUAAUAAUAUUUUUUCAUAGUUUUUCUUUCUAUAACGUCAACUUAUAUUUUUUUUAUCAUAUAAUGACAUAUACCAUUAAUAGCAAGGGUGUUCGCCUGCAAUUUAACUCAAUUUUAUUUAAAUCAAACAUAAAAAAAAAUGUGAUUUAGUUUGAAAAGAAAAAAUCUAAGACAAACUACACCAAUUUAUGUGAUUUGGUUUAAAUAGGUUUUUAAAUUUUAAUUUUUAAUUUUUUAUUAAAAAGUUAAUAUUCUUUUCAUCUUUUAAAUUAAAAUAUAAUAAUAAAAAUUUUCAUAUUUAAAAUAUGAUAAAUAUAUAUUAAAAUAAUAAUAAGAUUAAAUAUUUAAUAUUAUUAAAAUUUAAAAUCAAAUAGUUUUGUAGUGUAAUAAUAUCAACAAAUGAGAAAAAAUUAAAGAUAAAUUAAAAAAUAUAAAAAUAGAAUGAGAGGUCAAGCGAGAAAGUGGAGUUGAAGACGUCAUCUUUGAGGACAACUGAAGACAUCGACAGUGAAUACGAACCAAAAAAAUUGCACUCUACAAGUAGAUUUAGGUUGAAGUAUAUAAUUAACUAUUAUUAUUGUUUUCAUAAUAAAAAAUAUAUUAAAUUUAUAUUGUUACUCGCUUUGAUUUAGACUAGUUUUUUACAAACUGUACCGAAUAGCUCAGUUCUAAGAAAACAAAAAUCCAAAACAAUAAAAAUGUGUAUAGUAUUAUAUGUUAUCAAUUAUUUAGAUCGAUUUUUUUUUUUUUUUUUCAUUGGUUCGGUUCUAAACACCUUAUGAUUGAAUAUUAUUCCAUCUAAAUAAACCAAUUAAUGAUUACAAUUUUUAUAUUAUUGUAUGAUAUUUGUAUUGAGCAUAUAAUACAAUAUUAUAUAUAUAUAUAUCACCUAGUAAAUUAUUUGUUUAAAGUAUAUUUUAUAAUAAAUCUUCAACAAAUUAUAAAUUUGUAUUUCAAUAAUAUAAGCUCGAAUUUUUUUAUUUGAAAUAUUUUUUUCGUAAUAUAAAAGACAAUUACUCAUAAAUUAAACAGGCCACCCUCAUAGACAUAAAAUAAAUUUUAAAUAACAAGUGAAAUUAUUUUUUAAAUUAAAUAAAUUGUUACAAAAUCUGAACCUUAACUUAUUUUUUAAAAAUGUCUAGCUUGGUACGAGAAUAUUAAGUCAAGUUAUAAAUUUUCCAUACUUAAAAGGGUUGUCGAACUUUGAUGACGAAGACUGAAUGGUAAUCUACCUACAAAAUAUUCUUCGACACUCAAUUCAGUAACAGCUUAAAGAGCUUAAAGAAAUACGAUAGUAUAAAACUUAGAUUUUAUGGGCCUCUAGAUGAAUCUCAUCAAAUUCUUGUAGUUGUAGUUUCCUCUACUCAUCUGCUUGAUCAUUAUUAUUAUUACAAUCCUUGCCCGAUGUGUUUUAUAAUAUGAAUUUAUCUAAAGCAAAGACAAUGCUAAUUGUUCUAUCUCAGUGGUAGUAUAAUUAACCUAAGUUGCAUCUAAAGUUCUAGACGCAUAACAAAUCACAUGAGAUAUUCCAUUAACCUUUUGAUAUAACACAACUCCCAAAGCGUAAUUUGAUGCAUCACACAUGAGCUCAAAUGAAAUCUUCGAAUUAGGUGGUUGAAUGAUAGGAGGAGUGAUAAGAGUGUUGAAGAUGGAUGAAGCCUCUUCUCUACCUAGUGUUGUGUGUAUUUGAUGUAGAAAAUAGCUAGUUUGCUUUGAAGUUUGUAAUAGGUUUAGAUGAUCUUGUAUGUAGGCUUGUAAUUGUGUAAGAUUGCCUUUUGCUACAUGAUCUAUCCUAGAUGCCUAACCAAGCCUAGAUCAAGCACAUGAUGUGGUUAAAUGGUUUUUGAAAAGCUUUUAAAAGUGCUCUUAAAAGAUUUAAAUCAGUACAAAAAUAAAUCUGUUUUAUGGAGAAAGAAUCGAUUUAUUUCUUCUCUGUUAAAAGGCUUUUCUAACAUUCUGAUUAGGGCAUCACAGGUAAAGCUUAGUUCGUUAUUUCAGUUAAGCUGAGCUGGCCUAUUUGUUAUCUUUUAAUCUGUUUCUCUGUGAAAGAACAGGUUUAUUCUUUGGUCAGUUGAAAGGAUUUUCGAAAGUUAGUUAGGGCACCAAAGGUACAACUCAGACAGUUAUUUCAGUUAGCUGAGUUGGCAGUUUUCACAAAAUAAAUCUGUUAAGUUUAAAACUGAGUCUGUUGUUUUCAUAACAGCUUUUCAACUGUUUUUUGAAAAGAAGUUUGAAACUGUUUUCUAUAUAAAGAAAAGCCUCUCUCACAUGAAAGCAUGCUGAGCAAUUGCGUUUUUGACAGAGAUCAAACACUUUCAAUGUGAGAAGAAGGAUUGAAAAGAUUUUUGAAAGGUUUUCCAAAGGGAUUUUCAAGUGUGCUUGUUCUAAGAAACCUUUGAUCUUGGUGAAGGUGCUUGUUCUAGCAAAUUGAACUACUGGUUUUGAGUUCUUGCAUCUUCUUUUCAGGUGUAAUCUUUCCUUUAUUCUGGUUUGUAAAGGUGUAAGUGUUAGUCACUCCUUGAUAGGGUUUCUUGGAGUGCAAGGUGUGCUGAAAUAGGGUUUUUCAGCAUUGGUUGUAUUGUUCUUGUAGUGUUCAAGAACUGCUGUGUUUGUAAGUGAUUGGUACUGUUUUUAGUGGAUUCCACCUUGGGGUAAGGUGAGACUGGACGUAGCUCUGUAUGAGUGAACCGGUAUAAAAACUUGCGUGCCUUUUCUUCUCAUCCUUGCACUCAUUUCUGGUUUUGCUUAAUUCUGUCAAGAACUAAAUCUAUUCUUUUGAAAUUGAAUCUGUUAAUUCUGGGUUUAAGUAAAAACUGUUCUUCCUGAUUUGUUAAAGCUCUCCGAUCAUAAACAAGGCAGUUGUAUAUGUUGUUUUAAUUGAUCUGUGAACAAAUAGUCUAGUCAUUAAAACCUUGGAAAGAUUCAUUCUCUUUAAAACCUUGUGUUGAAUGAAUUUGAUUGUUUUCUUAGCAUAGCUGUAUUCUUCAUAUUCAUAAAAUCCAACUAAUCUGAUUCUGUUAUAACCCUCUGUUGAUUACAAUUUUAAUUUGAACAAAUUCAAAUUGUGCUAGACUGCUCUGAAGAAUCAAUCUGUUUCAUGUAAAAACAAUCUGUUCUUUUUGCCUCUGAGAUACUGUUAAGUGUGUGUUUUUGCGAAAAUUUUAUAAGAUCAAUUCACCCCUCCCCUCUUGAACUUAGACACUAAUAGACCCAACAAAGAGUUGUCUUAAGGUAGUCAAAUGCCUUUCUGCAAUUCUCUUCAAAUUCAAAUGGAACAUCCUUUUGCAGUAAGUUGGAAAGGGGAAGAGCAAUCUUGCUAAAACUUUUGGAUGAAUCAUCUAUAAACCCUGCAUGUCCAAGAAAAGAUGACUUCUCAUAUAGAAAAGGGGAACAACAAUUGUGAUAUAACAUUCAAUUUAGUAGGGUUUAUUUGGAUUCAUUUUCAGAGAUUAUGUGCCCUUAGGGGUGACAAUGCGAGGCGGGCCAGCCCGCGGCUCGCUACCAAAAAGUGCGGGGUGAGCUCACUAUUUUAGCCUGCUGACCCGCUUUGCCCCACCCUACAUAACCCAAAGCACGCGUGGGCCAACAGGUGGCGGGACGGGUUGGCCCGCUGACCCACGUAAAUAAAAAAUAAUUAUUUAAUUUUUUAUUGUAAAAAAAAUCAUACCCCAAGUAUUAAGAGUGACAAUGAUUUUAGUUUUAAGUAAAGUUUUAUAUUUAAAAUUUAUUAAUAAAAAAAUAAUAUAAAGAAGAUAUUUCAAUAGGAUAAUUAAAAAAUUAGUCAUCUUCAUUAAAAUGUUUUGUAACCAAACUUUGAUAAGAUACUCGUAUACAUUUACAUACCUAUAUAGGAAAAAAUAGAUGCAAAGCAAAACUUUAAUUUUUUUAAUCAAACCUUCUAACAACCCUCAUACUUGAAUUUAUAUUUUUUUAUCUUAAUUAAAUGAAUUGAAGCACGAAUAAAAUUUUAAUUUUUCAGUAGUAGGAAUAUUUUUUUUUAUAAUGAAUGAAAUUUUAAUUUUUGAAAAAAAAAAUCUUAUGCGGGCUGGCCUGCAAGCCCACGGGUUACUUCUUAUGCGGGGCAGGCUAGUGAAAUGAGUCUGCACUCCUACCGUGAGACGGGCCAACCUAGCCAGCAUUUUACGGGCCAAACGUGGGCGGGCCUAUGCGGGACUCCUACCGUAUGUGGCCUAAGAUGGUGCCUUAUGCAACCAUAAAAAGGACAUUUCUCAUUAUUUAAAACUAGGUUAUUUUCAAUGCACCUUAGUAAGAUUUACCAGACAUUGAUCAAAGGAAGAGCCAUAAAUAUUGAAACAUCCAUGAAAAGUUCUAUGCAAUGUUCAACAAGUCAAAAAAAAUACUCAUCAUGCACCAUUGGAUGGUUCUUGGGGCAUUUCAUAGACCCAAAGGCAUCCUCCUAUAUGCAAAAGUACCCAAGGACAUGUAAAGGUGGUCUUGUGAUGGCCUUCUAGUGCAAUAUAAAUUUGAAAAUAACCAAAAAAACUACUCAAGAAACAGUAGUGGGUCUUACCUGCUAGACACUCAAGCAUUUGAAUAAGAAAAAGAAAGGGUAAGUGAUCAUUCCUAGUGUCUUGAUUCAAGUUUGUAAUCAAUAUAGGCUCUCUAGUGGGAAUGAUUUUAUCAUGCUCGUUCUUCACCAAUGUUAUCCCAGAUUUCUUAGGUACAAUUUGAAUUGGGCUCACCCAAGUGCUAUCAAGUAUGGGAUAAACGAUACUACCUUGUAGCAACUUAGUGACCUUUUUUUCACCACAUCAAGAAUAUGGGGAUUAAGUCUACACUGGGUUAUCUCAUAGUUUCAUCGCUUUUUCUAACAAAAUUCUAUGCAUGCAUAUGGAAGGGAUGAUACCUAGAAUAUCUACAAGCAUCCAACCAAUAGCCUUCUUUUAUUGUCCAAUCAUUUGCAACAACUUUUACUAUUGAUCAACAUAAAGAGUAGUGGAAAUAAUCAUUGGAAGUUAUUAUCCUUGUUCUAGAUAAGCGUAUUUGAGGUGGGUAGGAAGUGGUUUCAGUUUAAGUGGUGAUGAUUGAACGAUAGAUGGUAAAAUAGUCUAAUGUUGAGAGUGACUUCAACAACCUACGAAGUUGCAAGAUUAGACUCAUUUAAUGUUAUUGCAUAUGUGCAUUCAACAACAUUAGCUUCAAUAUUAGAACCCACAUCACAAUGAUUAUUAUCGUUUAUACCAUCAAAAGAUAUAAACUUGUUUGUCUUAGUGUCUGUCUCUUCAGUUAGAUAAAAAAAAAUUACAUUUCCUUAUAACGUUUAACACGCUAUCAUCUACAAUAUCAUAUAAAAUGUUGAUGAAACCAAAAUAAUUCUCAAAAUCAUGUUUCGUAGCGUUUUGGAUGUUGAACUAUACUAAACUGUCUCCAAACUCCAUAGUAAGUAUGUUUGCAUGUACAUCAAUCUUGAUACGCGUUAUCUUCAUGAAGGGUCUGCCCAAGAUUAUGAUAGCUGCAACAAUGUAUGAAUCUCUUCCACCCAUGUCCAAAAUGUUAAAAUGCAGGAAAAACAAGGUCAUUUACUUGGAUUAAUGAUGACUUUCUAUGACAAGUGCACCGCAUUGUCAUAAAUAAUAAUUUGUCCCUAAGGACGAAUAUCGAUCCCACAAGGUACAGUUGAAUUAUCAAGUAUAAUACUCACUAAAUAUAAAAUAGAACAAUUAAAAGUGUGUUGAAAGUGUUUGUCUUGGCGAUGAUCAAUAACAAAACAGAUAAAGAAUUGGUUGCUUCAAGUUGGAAAAAUAGGGAUUUUGUUUCAUCUGUCUCACUCUUACGUAUUUUGAUUAGCAUGUUAACAUUAUGCUCUUUGAUUGAAAUUGAUGCCCGUAUAAAAGUAAUUUAUAUUGAUUCCUCGCAUAUAAAAUUCUUACGAAUGUUCCCUAAAUAUCGAUCCUUCGCAUAAUUAUAAGAACAACUUAGAAUUAAACUCAUAAGUUAAUAGUAAUUAACAUUUCAAGUCUAUUCCUAGCACUCAAAUAUGUUUAGUAUUGUUGUUUAGGUCAGAACCCUAAAAAUACUUCUAAGACAGAUUUAUGAUCCUCAAACAUGUCUCAAAUAUUUAAAAGCAAAACAACAAUACCAAUAAUCAAUCAUGAACAUAAUAUUAUAUCAUAAUUAAAUAUCACCUCAAUACAUAAGGAAUUGAACAUAUUACUUCCAAUCCCAAAGGGUAGAAUUAGCCAUGCAUACUUAUAGCACCUUUCAUUCUCCCAAUUGGUUACAAUUCACUCAAUGGUGUUUUCCUCUCAAUCUGGCACACUAGGGUUGUGCCUAUAGCCCCUUAUUUAAACUAAUUAAUUUGCUAGGGUUAGGUGACUUCCUGCGUUGCUCUUUGGACUCGUUCAUAAAAACAUAAAAUUAGCCCAAUUAAUCUAUUGCAUUUUUGCUGCUGAGUUGGACUUUUUCUCUCUUUUGUGCGUUUUGAGCCUUCCAGCUUUCUCCUUUUAGCAUAUAUCAUUCUUCAUUAGUUCAAAUCUCCAUUAUUCCCUAAAAACCUACAAUUAACAUCAAAUUUGGGGAUAAAAUGCUCUUAUUCAAUUAAAGAUCAUAAAAAAUGUUAAAAGGUAUAAAUUCAUAAAUUAGGAAUUAUUUUAUAUGUAAAUUAGUAAUUAAUACUCAUAAGUGCCUAUAUUUUAAUAUGAAAUAUUACGGAAAUUAGGCAUUUAUCAAUUAACACAUUGAUGAUCAUAAUUUUAUUCACACUUAAUAGCUUUAAUUAUAGAUUUUUGGACGGUAAUCAUCAAUAAAUCCAUUGUUUAAAUUAUGCUUCUUCUAAUUCGUUUUAUUUUGGCCUUAACUAUUAUUUAUGUUAAUUAUGUGUUUUUAUCCCAAGUUUCUUCUUUGAAUUAAAACAGAAAACGAAAUUUGUGGAGAGGAAUAAGAGAAUGAAAUUUACAAUAUCCCAAAAAUAGAAUUGGAAGCAAAUCUUCUACAAAAUACAAGGAAACAUAAUCAAAUAAUUUUGUUAAAUUGGGAACUGAGAAACUGUUAACAAAAUCUAAACCAAAAUAUUUUCCCGAGAUCCUUAGAGCAAAAAAACCUAAAAAAAUAUACAAGCUUCAAGAAGAAAAAAUGAAGCUUCACAGGGUUUUCUUAGUUUCUUUUCUUCUUUGUAAUUCUUUCGUUUUGCCUCCGCAUGGAAGGCUAAAACCAUUUUUAGAUUCAUUCUCUUAUAAUUUCCCAUUGAGUUCUCAGGUUUUGAACAAUACAAAAUUCAUUUCCAAUUCUUUAGUAGUUAUUUUAAUCUUGUGAUCUCUUGGAAAACUAGUUUUUGUGAGAGGUUGUACUUGAACGUAUGAUUGAGAGUCUUUCGUGUUUUAAACUUUUAGAUAGGCUUUCCCUAAGAGAGCGUAUGUCAGAGAUAUUUACCUCAUUAUCAGGCUUCGAUGUUUCGAAAGCAUCCUCAUGUGUGUUCAUUUCAUCUUAUGAGUAGCAUGUAUGGUCGCUCUUUGAUUUUGAGGAUAUAUGGUCCUUUUUUAAAUCAUCAACAGGUUUUGCAAGGAUUCCCAUAUGUCCUUGGCACUUAUCAUAGUGGUCACUCUGGAUGUUUCCUCUUCAAAUAAUGCACAUAAGAGAAUGCUCUUGGCAUUGGCAUUCAGCUUAUAUAACAUCUUUUGCUAAUCAUUUCAGGCUUCUUCUGGAAGUAGCUUUCUAACAAUGUCAAGCAGAGGAGAUAUACCUUUCUCAAUAGUCUCCAUUAGAUCUAAGUCAAUGUACUCCAAGAAUGCGUCCAUCCUGAUUUUCUAUACAGAUAUUUCUCUUCAUUGAAUUGUGGUGUUGUCAAUCAGUUGACCUAGAGAUUCCAUUGAGUUCCCCUUUUGAUCGUUGCCUCAAGUUCUGUAGAGAACUAACCCCUAAGAUUAGCUCACCAAUUGUAGGUACAAUUUGGUUCUUCUAGAAGAGAGGUUGAAUGUAGCCUGAAUUAAUUCGCUUAUUUCAAACACAAAUUAUAAUAACCAAGGAAUAGAAAAAAAAAUAUGUAUCGAUUUACUAACAAAUAUUCUACACUUCUCCAAAUAAGAAAUAUUUUACACUUCUCCCCGAUAACAAUUAUUCUAGAACUCUCCUCCGGUUAACAAGUUUUAACCUCCCCGUGAAACUAAAAGCUCUCGACAAAUGAAAAACUCUAAGGCAACAAUAUAAUCAACAAUGAAAGUGGAGAGGGUUAUCUUCACACACUAAAGAGUUUUACAAUGUAUGGCUCAUUCCCAAAAUAUGAAUCCUCAAAUAUGAAAUAUAAACUCUGAGUGUAAGACUAUUGCACAGUGAAGAAUUUCGAUUACGUUGUAUACUCGUGUUCCAUCCGUCUGUCUUAUAAGUGGGUUUGACUCAUCAACAACAACAACCUAGCCACAGACUGGCCAAACACUCAUGGAGCCCUGCUUCUUCAUCAUACUCUCUCUCUCCGUUUGCGUCCUAAUAAGACGCUUCUUCUCCCUUCACAACAAACCCACCACUCCUCUUGGCCCUUCACACAUCCCAAUCAUCUCAAACAUCCUUUGGCUAACAAAGUCCUUUCAAAUCGAACCAAUUCUCCCAACCCUCCACACCAAAUACGGUCCCAUUCUCACUCUCUACAUUGCUACUACUCCCGUCGUCUUCAUACGCGACCGCUUUCUCGCCCACCAAGCCCUCGUCCAAAAUGCUUCUCUUUUCUCCGAUCGCCCCAAAGCUCUCGCCGCCGCCAAAAUCAUAACCACCCACCAACACAACAUUAGCUCCGCCUCCUAUGGCGCCACCUGGCGCAUUCUCCGCCGCAACCUAACCUCUCAUAUGCUCCACCACUCCCGCGUCAAGUCCUUCUCUGGGAUCCGCAACUGGGUCCUCCACACCCUCCUCAAGCACCUCAAAUCCCAUUCCGAAACCAACAAUUCUGUCAGAAUCAUCGACCAUUUCCGAUACUCCAUGUUCUGCUUGCUCGUCUUCAUGUGUUUCGGGGAACAACUCGAUGAUGGCAAAGUCCGAGACAUCGAGCGCGUGCAGCGCCAGAUGCUUCUGCGCGUUAAAUCCUUCAACAUCCUCAAUUUCUGGCCCAGAGUCACGCGCGUUUUGUUCCGCAAACUCUGGGAGGAGUUGCUGAGGCUUCGGACGGAGCAAGAGGAUGUUUUGGUUCCGCUUAUAAGAGCCAGGAAGCAAAAGCAAAAGCAAGGCAAGGAGGAAGGUGUUGCUUCUUAUAUUGAUACUUUGUUGGAUUUGCAGUUGCCUGAGGAGAAACGCAAGCUCAACGAAGAGGAACUUGUGACGCUGUGUAAUGAAUUUUUAAACGCGGGCACGGACACGACUUCCACGGCGUUGCAGUGGAUCAUGGCGAAUUUGGUGAAGUACCCGCAUGUGCAAGAGAGGUUGGUGGAUGAGAUAAGGGAGGUAUUGGGUGAGAGAGAAGAGAGAGAAGUGAAAGAAGAAGACUUGCAGAAACUUGGUUAUCUGAAGUGUGUGAUUUUGGAGGGUUUGAGGCGUCACCCACCUGGUCACUUUGUGUUGCCUCAUGCAGUAACUGAGGAUGUGGUUUUUAAUGAUUACUUGGUCCCUAAGAAUGGGACAGUGAAUUUCAUGGUGGCAGAGAUGG